rnacentral:lncRNA from 1 species
CCAGGUAUGCUCUAGAAUUGGUGUCUAAUAUGAGGACUAGGAUGAGAAAGUUUGCUUUUGAACUAUCUCGGGAUUUGAUCCUUAAAAGCAAGAAUGUAUUGUUGAUCAAGGAUAUGGAUAUUUCUAGGUUGGUGGUUCAUAUGCAAUACGUGGAGGAAUAAAAGAGAAAACAGACUGAGUUUGGGGAAAGACAGGGUAAGAAGUUCAAGUCCACUGAACAGGGUGGUGCUCAAUAGAAAGGUGGUCGGGAUGGAGAUUGAGUUUCGUAUUGAUUUUGUUCUGGACACUCGUCCAAUAUCUAUUCCUCCUUAUAGAAUGGCUUCGGCUGAGUUGAGGGAACUCAAGAAGCAACUUAAGGAUCUUUUCAAUAAAGGUUUCAUCCAUCCUAGUGUAUCCCCGUGGGGUGCCCAAAUUUUAGGACCAACUAUUUGGUAGAGGAUUAUGUGCAGUUAUAUCUUCAUGAGAUUGUAAAGCUGCAUGGGGUUCCUGUUUUGAUUACCUUUGAUCGUGGUACGUAGUUUUCAUCUUUUUUUUGGUGGUCUUUUCAGAAGGGAUUAGAUACUAAGGUUAGUUUGAGUAUUACUUUUCAUCCACAGACAAAUAGGCAAGUAGAGUGGUCUAUUCAGACAUUGGAGAAUAUGCUUCAUGCAUGUGUGAUUGAUUAUGGUGGCACUUGAGUUGAUCAUCUACCUCUGGUAGAGUUUUCUUACAACAAUAGCUAUCAUUCAAGUAUUGGAAUUGCCCCUUUUAAAGUAUUGUAUGGGAGGAGGUGUAGAUCUCUUAUUGGGUGGUUCGAUCUUGGUGAGGUGGAUAUAUUUGGUCCAAAAUUGGUUAUCAAGUUAUGGAAAAGGUGAAAGUGAUUUGGGAUAUGCUUAAGGAUUUCCAAAGUCACCAAAAGUUCUAUGUGGAUGUUAGGCGUAGAGACUUGGAGUUUGAUAUUGGGGAUAAGGUGUUCCUAAUGGUAUCUCCUAUGAAGGCAGUGAUGUGGUUCGGUAAAAAGGGAAAGCUCUGUCCAUGGUAUAUUGUCCUUAUGUGGUUUUACAGAGGUUUGGUAACGUCGUAUAUGAAUUGGAGUUGCUUUCUAGCUUGAGAUCCAUUCAUCCGAUAUUUCAUGUCUCUAUGUUAAGGAAGUGUCUUGGUAAUGUUUCUUUGGUUGUUCCUUUGAAAGGAUUGGGUUUCUCGAAUUGUCUAUCUUAUAAAGAGGUCACAGUUGAGAUUCUAGAUCAGCAGGUUUGUAGGUUACGGACUAAGGAUGUGGCCUCAGUUAAGGUUAUAUGGCGGAACCACAAGGUGGAAGAGGCUCCAUGGGAAGCAGAAAUGGACAUAAAGUCCAAGUAUCCCUGUUUUUUUUGCUCCGUAUAUUCGUGCGGAAGGUAUGUAUUCUUCAACACAUUUUUAUUUUCUGAGUUUGUUAAAGAAAAGGUUGAUUUCCUUGCAUCUUUGUUAUCUAUCUUAAACGUAAUAGUAGAGGCAUCUAAGGGUGUAAAUCAUAAAUGUACUACCUUUUAUGUCAUUCAGGGAUGAAUGAUCCUAGUAAGGGGACUGAAACACCCUAGGUUUUUACCCUUAGAAAAAUUUCCUGCAUUGCUGGGUUCUAGACAACAUAUGACAUGUGGGUACCAGUCGUAUAAUGGGGUACGAGUGCUACGCCUUGAUCGUAUAUUGACCAGUGUUGGUUGGUGAGUUGGAUUGGUUUAUAUAAUGGGUACAACUUAGAUGGUACGAGUUUUAUGGUAGGGUAUGAGUCAUGACAUUAACUCGUAUGGUAGACAGUAUUCAAACUUUCUUGAUUCUAUUCUUCUAGGGAUACAGUUUAGGGGUACUAAUCGUAUGGUUUGAUAUGACUUGGUUUGGGUAAGUCGUAUGGUGGAUUGUGUUGGGUCCAAGUAAGAGGUCCAGGGUACGAGUGGUGGGUACCACUCAUAUUGGAGGGUACGAUUGGUAUGGUGGAGUCGUAUCCUCUGAUGGGAUUUUUUUACAAUUUACGUUAGGGAUAAUCUGGAUAUUUUCCCUUAUAACUCCUUGGGAUCCCAUGACUUAUAACUAACUUGGGACAUUAUUUACCCUAUUACUCUAUCAUUAAACACUUAGAAACUCUCUUCAACACUCUAUAAUUCUCUUUAAGGCUUUUGGGUAAAGGAAGUCUAGGGUUUAAUCUAGAGGAGCAAUUUGGGACUUGUUUGGGUGAUUUCUUUCCAUCAUCUUCUAAACUAAUCCAAGAUGCUCCUCCCUCCUUAUUAAUUCAAACUAAAGGCAUGCUUUAAAUAAUUUUUUCAUAGCAUGAUUUUUGUAUGGUUUUGGGGUUUUACUAUUUUAUGUUUGGUUAUAGUUUUCCUAUGUUUUAAUUAUAUAAUUACAUGCUUUAAUAGUGGUUUGGACAAUUGGUUUCAUGAGAAUGGUUAAUUGGUAAUUGGUUUUAGUUUUGGAAAUACUAUGCUCCCAACUUGUUUGAUAAAAUGCCUAUGAGAAUGCUUUUACCUUAUUAUUGAACUUUUAAUGGUACUAUUUCAUAGUAUGGUUUGGUAAUGGAACCCUAAAUGGUUUAAAUGGUUUUAGAAUGGUUAAAUUGUAAGGUUUUGGUGGUCAUGGUUGGUCUAAUUAAGCUUCUUUGUGGGGUACAAGGGAAUACCCCAAGUAAACAUGGUAAUGAACAACUUGUGGGGUACAUCAGAUUCCUCCAAGCAAACUUAAUAAUGAAACACUUGUGGGGUACACGGGAUUCCCCAAAGUUAACUUGAUGAUGUAGACUAUGGGCACAUGGGAAUCCCUUUAACUAUAAAGGUUGUAUAAAGACAUUACUUACAAGUUAUAGUUGGUAUGAUGAUACCCUUACUCACAGCCUUGGUUAAUAAUAAUGGUACAAUGGUUUGGUUUGAUGGAAAUGGUUUUAAUUGGGCAAUAAUGGCGGGGUGUGAUAGCUAACUGUAAAGGUGGGAGUUCAAUGGACGAACACUGGAAACUCAUAUUUGCCGACAUGAAGGAUUGGUCAUGGCGACCAUAUAUGAUACUCAUGAGGUUCAUAGGAAUCCUCUAUGUAAACUGUACAUAUGUAUCAUGGAGAGCGAAGGGUACUUGGGAAUCCCCUACUCUUAUGGUAUCUCCAGUUCGUGCGGCUAAAUAUAUCGGGGCCCAUUCAGAGGGUUACACUGGACCCAUAUAGCCCGUGGGUUGUUUUAGGAUGGUUAAGCUACACAUACCCAGGUUAAUGGUCUUUAAUGUUUGCUAAACCCGAUUUCCUUUUCCUACAUGGUUAUAUAUAUAUAUAUAUAUAUAUAUGUAUGUAUGUAUGUAUGUAUGGUUUGUAUACAUAUGGUUAGUUUACUUGGUUUUUGUGGAUGGCAUUAUUUUAUCCUUAUCCUGAGUUUCUUGCCAGCGUUUACCCGCUAACCCAUCCUCGGGGGGCUGUAUCCUCAUGCAAUACAGGAAUUGGCCAUUCUACUCCUCCUGCUUAGUGUUCGACUUUGAGAUCGGCUAUUGGAUUGAAGUGGUGGGCUUCCAUAUUCCGAAUGGCUCCAUUUCUUUCAUGGAUGAUUAUAUAUUCUUUGGUUAUUUUAUGGGUAUUGGUUUUGGCUAUGGUUGGGGGUAUGUUCCAACCAAAUAUUGGUUUUCUUUUGGUUAGAGGCUUUUGUGGAACUACUAUGGGUUGUUAUGGGCGGGAUCGGUAUUGGUGUCAGCCUUAGUAUUGGCAUUAGUAUUGGGGCUUAUACUAGUUGACUAAAUUUCACAUUGUUCCAUCCUUUUAUGUUAUGUUAUUAAACUUGAUUUGGUUAUUUGUUUGGGUGUGGUUUUAUGGUUUGGUUUGGUUAUCGGAUGGGUUUGAACGAUUGGACUUAGUUGGGUCAGUCUUGGUUAAACACCUAUCCCAGAGUCUGUAAUUGGACAAAUACAUUAUUUUGUUAUAUGUUCAAAAUUCAGCCAAAACAUUAUUUUGUUAUAUGUUCAAAAUUCAGCCAACUCAUGGUAAGCGGCUGAAGGUUGGGUUGGGUAACGGGGGUGGUCCCCGAUCCAAGUCGGACUUGGGAUGCCUAUUACGACAAGGCCUUAGGUCUGGUCGGGUCACACCUUAUCUCGAUUAACCUUAUUUCUAAUCUUAUCUUUUCUAAAGUACCCAUACAUCGACCGUAGCAUUCUCAUCUCUGCCACCUUCAUAUUUUAGAUGUGAGACUUCUUAAUAGGCCAACACUCCACCCCUUACAAUAAAGUCAUUCUAAGCAUCAUUCUGUAGAACUUGUAUUUGAGUUUAGGAGGUAUCUUUCUGUCAUACAAGAUUCCAAAAGCGAGUGUUCAUUUCAUCCACCCUACUUUAAUACAAAUAUAAAAGAAAUAUACCUCUAUUCAAUCGACUAUAAAGGUAUAUAAUAACUACCCACAUAUUAAUCAACACUCAAUAAUGCAUAACCCCAAGCUAGGAAAUUAGUUACUCAUAACAAGCAAAAACAGAAAUAUACUUAUAUUCUCAUUAAAUUCCACCAUAGAAUCUAAAAUCCUCAAAGAAAAAUUCCAAAUUCAAAAGAAAAAAUAGUAAUAAACAACUAAAAUCCCAAUUAAUGUCUCAAUUCGAAUCUUUAGCUUCAAGUAUAUGACAAAAUACAUGAUUUCCAUCAGCCAAGAAGACUUACAUAUCUCUAGAAAAAUUGCACCUUAGAUUUACAAAAAUUUCCACCACAUUCAAUUAGGUUGUAGUGAAAUCGAUCUCCAAUCACAUCGAUGAUAUGCCAAAUUAUCUCAAGGCUGCCUGAAGUGUUUAUGCACUAAUCUCUAUGGGUUGGCAUCUGUCUUAUUUGGUGAUGAGACUUGGCUUUUGUCGUUCUAUUUGAUGACGCGUUGAAAUGUACUUCUCAUCACUAUUUUAUCCAACUUUAGACCUGAACUAAUCUAUUACAUUUGGCAAUGGGUUGUUGCUUUUAGCAAUGCACAUAUCAUUUUGGUAAUGCGCCAAUUCUCCUAGGCGAUGCUCUUUUGCAUUUUUGGCUCCAAUCUUCCAUCUUUUUGCUUCUUUAUCUACUUCUUGGACUUAACCCUGGAACUAAACCAAAAAAACAUUAAAAUGUAGUCAAAUUAGCAUUGAGUAAUGAUUUCUUUCUAUUUUAGAUGAAACAAGUCACAAUUUGUCGACUCAUCAACAUCCCCAACUUUAAUCUUUGCUUAUCCUCAAUUAGAUCAAUGCAUACACAAUAAAAUCAACAAUGUAUACAAAUGGUACUGAUAAGGAAAUUAGGCACGUGCCUUUUUUCGUGAAAACAUUUUUCCCCAUUGAUUUUGAAAACAAUGGCAGAAGUAUUACCUAUUAGAUAUUCACAUUGUGAAUGAAGAGACUUAAAUAUUGAAAUAAAAUUACCAUACCUCACACAUACUCACAGACUCAAACCAAGAUCAAAGAGUGAACAAGUAAUGCAAUCAAGUGCCCUCACACAAAGAAGUCCUAUCUUACAAUAGCAAAUCAUCAUUUAAGCAAAGGACUAUCAUGAAUCUCUCAUGCUCCAAAAGAUAAUCAUACAUACGAGAACCAUGCCAUAGGCUUCCCCAUAAGUUCUAUUCCACCACAAACAAGCUUUCUACUUUAGAGAUUAUAAAGGUCUUGAUUUGGAUUGUAAUUUAUGUCUUGAUUUGGCUUGUAACUUAGGCAUCAAGUAAGGUAGGAAAGGUUAAGGUUAUAGUGACUCUACCUUCUCGAACCAUCCAAAGAGACCUCAGUCAUACUUAUUUCCCAAAACAUACUCUUCAAAUCUAUCCAAGGACCAAUUCUCAAGUAUUUUCAUGCUAUUUUCCCCUUCUAUCCUUUCAACCUUAAAAUCCUCAUAUUAACACAAUUUACCCUCUUUUAAAAAUCUUUUUUAAGUUUCCCCUUCUUUUUUUACUAUUCACAAUAAAUACUAGGGUACUUAAAUGGGAAGUAAAUGUAUUGGUCCUUAAAUCCAAGAAUUGUCUAUCAUAAGUCUCACCUGGGAUCUCCACCACCCUAAUUUAGGUUUUUGACCUAACUUGGUUCCUGAUCUUACCUAUAUCUUUAAGAAGGGUUAAGAUGAGACUUUGAAAAAUGGGUUUCACCUUAUAAUGAGGUUAUCCAAGGAAAAGGUUUCCAAAGCUAUAAAUCGGGACAAAAUUGGUCACUCAACUCACAAUGAGGUAGCUAUUUUAGUCAAAUUGGAGGUUCACUCUCAAUACAUGGCCUAAGAUCACUUCUUCAACAUUGCACAUGCUUAGCUUCAGAAUUAGAGAAAUCAUCUGGUUAUAAGUGGACACAAUGAGAAAUAUCAAACUGAGUUCUCAAAAAACAUGGCACUCAAUCGCAAACCUGAAUCAUUUUUCCUCAAAUGAUGUACCAUAUUCAUGGCACAUGUCAAGAAAGAUACUCAAGUAGUCAACACAAGAUGUGUGUGUUUACAAAGAUAAGUGCCUACUUAGUUCAACUAAACCAAGGAAAAGUUUUAAAAAGAGGCACAUUUUGAGAAAUCCUUUUAAAGAGUUGAGCAUAUGAACAUUUCCAAGGGUACUAUUUGAGUCAAAGUAUUCUAUUGGUAGCAUACUUUUCUCGUAAGUACGCAUGCUAAACAGAAAUUUUUUUGCAACUAAUUACGAGCUAUAAGCUAAAAAUAAAAAAGUAAAAAAUAAAAAAUAAAGCAUCACGCCCCACACAUUGAAUAUUACAAACCAAAUGAAAUAUCAAAAAUAAUAUCCAAAUCACAGUUAUUACCACACACCAAAAUAAAUAUCUAUAAAUAUCCCAAAUAUUGUAUUAGAAGAACCAAUCAUCAAAGGGAAAAUAUUGCAGAGCAAAAAUAAACACCCCACCUCCAACUAAAAACUAUGAAUUAUCUCAAUGAAAUAGCACUAAAUAAGUACACGAGAAUAAGAGUAAGGGUCCUCCUAAAACAUGGCUAAGCCUGCGACGGUGACUGACUCACCAAAGUGUCCACUAUUUGGUCGUUAGUGAUGGGCUUUGCUCUAAGUUUCUAUAGGGGUGGAUCUGGUAAGGAUCCUCGAUAUCUGUAGUACUAUCUAAACUAAAGGUCCCAAUAUGUAUCAUCUCAUGAAUUGACCUCUCUAAUGCAACAGUAAGUAUACCAUCCUUGGUCUCCUGCCUAUCUGUUUGCUCAUCAGCCUAUGUCUCAACCUGAGACUUGUCCUGUAUAUAAAUAUGGCACUGAUCCUCAAAGAAUCCCUCAAUAUCUACAUCAUCAACAUCCCGAUAUAAAGCACAGUCAUUUUCAUCUACCUCCUACUCCUCAGUUAUUUGUUUAUCAUCACAAACAGAUGCAGGAGCUGGAGUCAGUGACUUAGAUGUAGCUCCUUAUAAAUGUCUUAAAUUUAGGAACAGAGAUCAUCAACAUGCUUCUAAGGGAAGCAUCAGACUGCUGAGGAGCACUUAGAUCAUCUAAUCUUUAGUUAAAAAGCCACAGGGUCUUCCGAAUACCACAUAGCUCAUCUUGUACUGGAUCCAUGGCGGUUUUCACCACAGAACUAAUCAUUCCAUGUAUCUCUCUCUCUAAAGUAGCUGACCUUGUAUUACAUAAAUAAGCUAACUUCCUCAUCCAAAUAAUGUUUUUUUGAGUCAAUGAGGCUCUCGGAGAGACUAAAAUAGUAGAAGGUUAAGGACUAGGGACACUAGCGUGAGGCACUAUGAUGAUGUACCUAAUGAUAGAACAAGUAGAGAAGAAGCAAUAACUGAACAAAAAAGGGUAGAAGUUGUAGUAGUAUUAGGAGUGGGCUAGUUGACACCACUAUCAAAAGAACCAAAGUCAAUUUCUAGGAAAUCAUCCACUCGAGAUUUUUUCUUCUUUACUUCCUAAACAAGCUCAAGUCUAGAAGUGUCCACUGUAAAGGUAAGGGUAUACUCAAAAUCCUUUUUAAAAUUAAACAAAACCUUGGUACGAUAAUCAACUCAGUGACGAAACAUGAGAAUGCAAGGAAUGUUUACUUUUGUUGGUCUUGGUGAGCAAUUUUUGGGGCAAUGCUCAUAGAAAUAUUGAGCCUUUCCUUAGUAAUUAUUAAGCCUACCAGUACUGAGGAUAAAUAAGGAUUUAUUAGUUUUUCAACAUUAACAAGUUUCUACACACAAAGCACAAGCAAUAUCGAGUUUCCAAAUGAAUAUUUAUCUUUUGGAUUUAAACCUCUGGUGCAAGCCAUGGAGGAGUGAUAUCACUGAGCGAUGGGGAUAACCAACCCUAAAGAUCUUCAAAUUCUGUCAAGUUUGAGUAGCAAAGUAAUGAUGGGAGUCAAGUCCAGCUCUACACAUCGCAUUAAUUAUAGCCCCAUCAUGCUUAAAAUUGGCACCUCAAACCUUCACCAUAUCAUAAUUCUCUUAAGGUUUCCCCUUUUUCUCUUAUUGGAAAAUAACUCUCCAUAAGCUAUAUAAAACUCUUAUACCUAAGUCUAGACAUAUAUCUUCAAUGGUUUAGUGAACUGCUGGAAAUUAUGGUACCUCAAUGUUGCCAACACCCUUGGAUGCUUUCCUUCUAAUCCAUUCAGACUUAGUCAUUGUUCCUCAAUGAUGGUGUAUUGGCUGGGAACCAUUAGACGAUAUACAAUAAGAUACCCUUAUGUGGCUAUGGCGGAUGUUGUUCUACCCUUUUCUUAUUUGCUAGCCUCGGGAGUAUGCAGUGGCUCAUGAAUGGGAGUAGUAUCCCCUUUGUCCGAGGAAUCAAUGUUGCACCUCUCAGAGUUUGAGCUAUGCUCUGAGAUUUCUUCUUCAAUUACUAGUAUAUUAGGCCUUAUUUCCUUAAUCCUUUAUAUUUUAUACACCUUGUAUGACCUAUACCCUUCCUUAAUUGUCACCCUCUUUACAAGUUUAGAGGUAGGGGAAGAAGAUCUAGCAGGUUUCCUUACAACAUGUUUCUUCUAGUCAUAUCUUCACAUAAGAGUAGCAAUGGGCUCAACCAAAAUAAGCAAACCUAAAACACAUCAAUUUCCCAUAUUUGCAUCACUAAACUAAUUGAUCCAUCACCAAAUAAUUUACCAAUGUGUAUUGGUCAUCGCCAAAUAAGACAAAAAAAGAGGUACGGAUAGUGAGGGAAAGUGUCAAAUUGGUGAUAUAUUAAUGAGUUCCACGAUACUCUCAGUGCAUCACUGAAUUGCAUCAGCAUCGUUGAAAUUUCACUUGUCUGCGUAUUAUGACAAUUCUGCGACACAGAGAGUGCUUUGGCGUUAUGCCACAUAGUUUGGUACAUCACUAAAGUGCUCAACCCAUCACUGUAUGUCAUCAUCACUAAGAUGAACUUCAUAAUUUUGGGCCAUUUGAAUGGUGAUUUUUCAAUUCCAAUAUCCAUGGGUACUCAGACUUCCCUAAACCUUAAUAUUUAAACCACAAAUACAAUUAUUUUGCCCUUAAGAAAGCCAUCACUCAAGCUAUCUUUGGGGAAAAUCAGUUGAUUUAAAGCACAACCCAUUUAAAUCUAACCAUAUUUGACACCUAAUUCCACAACAAGUAAACCACAAUGCAAACAUGAAAAAACUUAAGCAUUUAGAAACCAACUUCUAACAAUUAAGUUCAAUUAACCACAAUUGUUAAUCCCUAUAUUCAAACUCAAGCAAGAACAACUUCGACUAGACAACACCAAUAUACUCAACCAUAGAUAUAACAAUUCAUCAACUAAACAUGAGUAGCAUUGUUAUGUAAUAGAGUUUAAACUAGAAUCAAUUCUAACCUUUGAAGUUUAGGAAGAAAUCUACAAGAAAGAUGAAAUAUUAAUGUUACAUGUAAUUAUAAGGUUUGUACUCAUACGAUGAUGAUGGUGAUUUAUGAGAAAGAUGUGACUAUGUUCAUAUGUGUAUUUGUGUAUAUGUCUACUAUAGAAAGUGAAAGAUAAGAUGGAAAGGGGAUAUGGGUAUAUAUUUAAAUAAUACUAAGAAUCAUAAGCAAAUGAAAGGUCAAGGUUCAUGCCCUGGACAAAUCAUCGAUGAUAUGCUAAUAUGCUCCCUCAUCUCCCAAAGUUAACAGUUUGUGGCUUUGGAUUCACCCAAAUGGUGUCAUUAAAAAUGCAUUGAUGGUGUCAACGCAUCGCCAAAGCCUCCUUACUGGAGAUUUGGGCAUGAUCUCCCAAAUUUUUUUUCUCCAACUAGUGUGAUGUCAUGUUUUCCACAUUCUAACUCCAUCACAUACCUACACAAAUCAACACACAUUAUUCAAACAAAAAAUAAACUUGGGCGGCCUCCUAAAAAGUACCUUGUUAUCAUCAUGGCACGGUGUUGUUCUUCAUUGAUAUUGUAUCAUCAAGGUAUGGAACCUCCAAGAAAUUGGCUUCUGGUGAUAUCCCAAGGUAAUGUUUAACACAUUAGAUAUUCAACCUAAAUCAAUAUCCCUUGUCAUUCUCUAAUUCUAUAGAUCCACUGGGAUAAUAUCUUACCACCUUGAAGGGGCCUGACCAUCUAGUUUUGAGCUUGCAUAAAAAUAACUUGAACCUUUAUUUAAACACGAGGAUGUGGUCACCACUCUUUUACUCUAGUUUUAGAAUUUUGGCAUCAUUCUAUCUCUUCAUAUGCUCCUUGUAGAGGGUUGAACUCUCAUAAGCUUUCAAACAAAAUUCACUAAUUUCUUAAAGUUAUUCCACCCUUGAUAGUGGCAUCCUCCCAAUUCAUAUUCAACUUGCGUAAGGCCCACAAUGGCUUAUGUUCUAGUUGAAUGAGGAGGUAAAAAGCCUUGUAAAACACCAAUUUAUAUGGUGAUAUACCAAUGGGAGUUUUAAAUAUGGUUUGAUGGGGCCAUAUAGCAUCAUUAAAUCUUUUGUCCUAAUCCAUACUACUAGAACUCAUGGUUUAUGCCCAAAUACAUUGUCUUAUCUCAUGGAUGGACACUUUUGCUAACCUAUUAGUGAAGCCACCUUAUGUUUCACUCCAUAUAUAUCAAGCAAAUACUCAAAUGACUAGCCACCAAAAUGAGAACCUACAUCACUUAUAAUAGCACGAGAAGUCCUAAACUAGGUAAAAAUAAACCUCUUCAAGAAUUGAGUAACAUUUCUUGCUUCAUGAUUUUGCAACUCAACCCAUUCAAAAACAUAAUCAGAUACUACCAAGAUAUAGGGAUUCCCAUAUAAGCUAACAAGUGGUUACAUGAAGUCUAAACCCUAUAAAUCAAAUAAAUUCACAUCCACACUCGAUCAUAAGGGAAUUUUAUGUCGUCUUGAGAUUUCACCUUGCCUUUGGUAUUGUUAACAAGCCAGUACUAACUUAUGGGCAUCAUCAUACAAAGUAGGCUAGUAAAAUCUACAUUGGAGGAAUUUUAUAGAUGUUCGUAUACCGUUGUAAUGACCACCAACUAGUAAUGAGUGGCAUGCCUCUAGAAUAUGCCUCAUCUCAUUUUCCAUAACACAAUGGUGUAUCACUCCAUCUGCACACUCCCUAAAAAGAUAGGGUUCAUCAUAAUAAUACCUCUUCACAUCAUAGAGGGAAAACUUCUUUUGAUAAUGGUUCAAAUCAUCGAAGAGCAACCCACUCACAACAUAAUUUGCAAGAGAGACAUACAAUGAUAGAUACUCUUCUUUAGAGCCAUAACAAGCUCAUCGAGGAAUGUGUCUUCACUUUAAAUCUCACCCUCUUCUCUUUGUUUGACUCAAGGGAUUAUAAGUGGUCUACUACUUGGUUUUCAUAUCCUUCCCAAUCCUUUAUUUGAAAUCAAAAUCUAGAAGUUGUUAGAUCUACCUAAUCAACUGAGGUUUGGCCUCCUUUUUAGAUAUAAAAUAUAGAAGAUCUACAUGGUUGUAUGCAUGAUAACCUUCACUCCCAACAAAUAUGAAUAAAAUUUUUCAAAAGUAUAGACUAUGACAAGCAAUGCUUUCUCCAUAAUAGCAUAAUUUAUUGUGCACUAUUCAAGGUCUUGCUAGCAUAACAUAUUGGAUGGAAAAUCUUGUCUUUCCUUUGUCCUAAUACUUAUUCCAAUGCCAAGCCACUUGUGUCACACAUCAAUUCAAAUGGAAGUUCUGAAUUUGGGGCCACAACAAUCUGAGUCAACACAACUUUUACCUUGAGGAAAUGGAACAUACUCACACAAUCACCAUCAAAGACAAAUUUCACUUCUCUUUAAAGGAGUUUGCACAUUUGAUAUCAAUCUUUGAGAAAUCUUUGAAAGAACCUGACAUUCCCAAGAAAAUUUUUAACAUAUUUCAUAAAUAUUGGAAGGGGUAUCUUGGAAAUAAAUUUGACUUUUUCUUGACAACUUGAAUACCUUGACCCAAAAUUUUAUGACUAAGCACAAUACCCUCUUUUACCAUAAAAUGGCAUUUCUCCCAGUUCAACACAAGAUUUGUUUCACCACAUCAUUCAGUACCUUACUCAAGUGUUUGAGAUACAAUUCUAAUGAGUCACCAACGAUGGAGAAAUCAUCCAUAAAUACCUCCAUAGUAUCCUUCACCAUAUUCAAAAAUAUAGAGAGCAUGCACUUUUAAAACAUAGCGGGUGCAUUGCAUAACCCAAAGGGUAUGCAUUUGAAGACAAAUGUUCCAUAUGGAUUUGUGAAUAUGUUUUUAUCUUGAUUCUUAGGUUCAAUAAAUAUUUUUUUAUAGAUGGAGUACCCAUCCAAGAAAUAAUACCAACCCUACCCUACCAAAUGAUCAAGAUUUGAUCCAUAAAUGGCAUGGGUAAGUGAUCCUUCUCCAUCUAAGAGUUCAAUUUAUUGUAUUCCAUACAUAGACUCCAACCUAUAACCGGUCUCAUGGGGAUAAGCUCAUUAUUUUCAUUAGUAACCACCGUGAUUCCUUUUUGGGGGGAUGCAUUGAACUGAGCUUACCUAUGUGUUAUCUGCAAUGGGAUAUAUGACACCCACAUCUAACUACUUGAUUAUUUAAUUUUUUACUAACUCUUGUAUUGGAAGAUUUAGACAUCAUUGGUUGUCAAUAGUUGAUAUAAAAUUAUCUCCAAAUUUAUAUUGUGAGUACAAAUGCGAGACCAAUCUCAAUUAUAUCUACAAUAGUCCAACCGUUGGGCCGAUUAAAAUUUUUCACUACCGCUUCAGAGCUUCCACUUAUCAUAGCAAUAAAUCUCUUGCAAAAAUAAUUAUAAGGUAUUACUUUCCCCUAAUAAGACAUAACAAAGGUAUGGGAGCAAUGACUUAAGGUCAAGUUGAGGAGGUUCUAUAAUUGAGGGCUUGGCAGGGGGCUUUCUCAAUUUAUUAAAUCAAGUUCCAACUUGCAAGGAUUUUUAGUGUAAGUGCCAAGACCUACCAUCCCAAAGUUCCACAAAACUCUAGGAAAUGGCUCACUAAUAAGAUCUAUUUUCAUACCAUUGUCCACUUCAUUAUCAAUCAUGUCUAUCAUGGAAAUGACUUGUAAGUUCUUUAAUUACCUCAUGGACACACACACAUAAAAUUACACCUCUUUGUUACUCACUCAAAAUUUUAUCUCACCAUAAUCCAUAUCUAAUAAGGCUUGAUCGACGACAAAGAACAACCUAUGGAGAAUAAUAGGGACUUCGUGGUCAAUUUCAUAAUCCAAAAUCACUAAGUCAAUCGUAAAAAUAAAUUGAUCCAUUUUCACAUGAACAUCAUACAAAAAUCCCAUGAUCUUCUUUAUGGAAUGAUCCGCUAUCAAAAUUCUCAUGGUAGUGGGAUUGGGAUCUCCCAAGCCUAGCUUUCAAAACAUGGCCAAUGGAACUAGAUUGAUACUAGUCCCACGAUCACAUAAAGAUCUUCCAAAUUGGUAUACCCCUGAUUGUACAUGAAAUGGUCAAUACUCCCAAAUCUUAUUUUUUCACAACCAUUGUGUUGGCAUUAUCACACUACAAUUCUAUGACACCUCAAUUGUUUCAAAAUCCAUGGUCUUUUCUUUGUCACUAAGUCUUUUAUGAACUUACCAUACCCAAACAUUUCUUAUAAAUCUUUUAGCAAAAGGAUGUUCACCGAUAGGUUGCUAAAUUUUGAUAGGAACUUCUUGAAUUUAGUGUCAUAAUCCUUAUUAAGUCUUUGAGAAAAUGGUGGAGGUCUUUUGAUUUAUGUCCUUAAAAAAACUAGACUUUCAUUCGGUGUUGAGAUAUCAUCGUCAUCCACUUGUGGUAUCUCUUCUGUUUCAACCUUAUCCUCCCCAAUUCUUGGAUUCUCAAUACUUUGCUCAUUUGAACUAUAGACUUUAUCGUUGGACAUAUCAAGCCACUUUUUCUUUCUGCUAGCUUGUUUCUUAACCCUCCUCUAAUCAAGGUCAUUAGCAAGAUUUAAAAUAUCAUCAUCGAGAUUCCUACCUCUCCUAAUGACAAUUUGCAAGAUAUGAUCAUCAUUCUUUGAAUUUUCCACAGUAUUACUAGGUAAACCACCCUUUUGCCUUACAAAUAAGCUGAGAUUUGGCCCAAUGUUUCAACUUUCUUAAUAGAGGUCAAAUAUGAGGUGACCAUUUAAUUGAGUUGCAAAAAUGUUCUCUUCUUCUAUCUUAACAUUUUGUCACUUCCCUCAAUUCCCAAAAGGAUACGAGUAAACACAUUUUCUUUCUUAUAAUUUUCCAGGUCGAUAAUGGUAGACUCUUUGCCUUUUUAGCUAUUGUGAAAAAGAAUAUAUCUAUCAUGGACAUGUUCUUUGUCUCUCUAAUUUCAAUCUUUAGCUUUUUCCUUAUCCCUCUAAUCCUUAUCAUAAUAUCGUUUUCUCCAAUCACAGUCCUUCCAAUCAGAAUAUCUUUUCUUCCAACCUUGAUUCUCACUUUGCCUUUGUAGGUAGUUGAGAACCCCCAAACCCCACCCAUUUUAUUGAUAAGUACCAAAUCUAUCAUUAAGAGACUCUACAUUAUCAUCUUUAUAUGUUUUCUUUCCCUUGGAAACUAUGGUAGUCACUUCAAUUGGAGUUGACCCUAUGACAUAUUUUGUGAAAAGAUCUAACUGUGUCAUCACCUUAACCAUAUUUUCAUCUCUGUCCUUAUUUUUCUUUCAUUUUUCUUGGAUCACAAAAGAUGUAGAGGGAUCCCAAAUGGCUGCCUUGUUAUAUCUUGAAUGUCAUGCUCUACUUUGCUUUGUCAUUUGGUCUAACAACCCUAAAGAAACUUUAAAUGUUUGUUUGAUUAUAGAUCCUUUAGCCAUGUUAUUUGCCACUAUCUUAUUUCAUUAGUUUAAUGCUCUAUAGAAGAUUUGGUAGAGUAUUUUAUCAGGUGCUUGAUGGUUUGGACAUUUUAGCAACUUCUUAUUAAAUGUUAACUAUGCUUUAUGCAAUGGUUCACCACUCAAUUAUUAAAAGUUUAUGAUUUCAUCCCUCAAUUGGAGCAUGCGGUAUAGUGAAAAGAAUUGAUCUAGAAAAGCAUUUGUCAACUUAACCCAUGAUAUUAUAGAUCCCACAGUAAUUAAUGCAACCACAACACCUCAUCACCUAUCAAUAAAAAUAGAACGAGCCUCAACUGAAUGUACUUUUAUGAUACAUAAGUAAUGUCGAAUGGGAGGAAAACAUUAAUAAAUUUCUUCAAAUAAAGUCUUGCAUCUUCGUGAGCUUGACAACUACACAGAUCCUUCAUUUGGAGUUAAUGAAGCAUUACACUAGUGAUAUCACCCAAAACAACACUCCUCUCAGAAGUAUAAUGCGUUCGAUUACAAAUAUAAUAACCCAACUAGGUUGGGGUCGAUCCCACAGGGAAAAUUUGAAUAGUUCAUAGGCUUGAUGUAAUCCACAAGAAGUAUAGAAAAGCAAAUGGGGGAUUUGUAGUAUCAAUUAUAAGUAGUAACCGAAUCUUGAGUGCUUUAGAGUUGUAAUCCAUAAGAGACUAACACUAGGUUUGUAUUCCCCCUAGAAUAUCAACUACGUAAAUUUCUCAUGAUCAACCCAACUGUUCUAUUUUUCUGUAUGCAAAGUCUACAACAUAGGAACUGUUGAGUAAGCUAGAAGAUAAAUUUCACCCUUUACCAAGUAAUUCUCAGGGUGUCUCCUUGUUGCCCCUUGCUAAGACCUUAGUUCACUCAUCUGGGUGGGAUCGAGUGAUUAGAUUAUAUAGUAGGAACUAAAAGGUGGAGAUGACUCCCAAAUCACUGUCCUAAUCUUUUUUCCCAAUCACAAGCUCCUUGGUAGAGAUGGAUACGAAUACAGUCUAUCUUAAGGUACUGCAUAUACUUGAGAUUAACUAUUAUAAAAAAGAUUAAGAUACAUACAGAAAUCCUAGAACAAUUAAAUCUCAACUUUCUUUACAUAGCUAAUCUGUUAGGGUUCCCAUAACCCUAGUCGAGGAGAUUAGUCACUCGUGGUUGUGCAAGAAACAAUGAUUGUCAAUGAAGAACACAUAAAAUCAAUUGAACAAGAAUAAGAUGAUUAAACUCCAAAGUCUUUAAUUUAAUAAACCCUAAAAUCUCAAGAACAAUUGUGAAAGUAUUGUAAUAAUAUGUAAAAGAACGUCCAAGAAAGUAACCUAAUAAAUGAUAAACCCUAGGGUAUUUUUAGUAUCUCAAAAUAACCUUAAAAUUCUAAUAAAAACAUGAAAGGUAAAGCUAAGUAUCAAGUUAGUACGACUCGGUGUUCACUUGUAUUGGCAUCAUAAGAGUCAUACCCUACCUUUUCAUAUUCAUUCCAGUGUCUGAUCUCCCACAGUUUCAACUUUCUAUUCAGUAUACGACUUCUUCUUACAAGUCGUACCUGAGUGUACAACUUGUGUCCCUCAUCAAUAUCCACCUAGGACUUUUGUCCUUUCUAAUCUUGAACACUGGUUUGUAUACGAUAUCCCUAUACGAUUUAUAUUCAAACUUCUGACUCGUAUACUUCUGACACUUCAAUCUUUGAACAGUAGCUUAGGUUAUGUUAUGCUUACGACUUCUCUGUACGUCUUAUAUCCCUAAUGUAUGGAUCGUAUGGAUGAGUCAUAUCUUUUCUUGGUUGGGUCUUUGAUUAUGGAAUGCUUAUGUUUAGGUGACACAACUCGUAUACUCAUCUUACGACUCGUAUACAUGAAUCGUAUCUUACACUCACUUGGCAUUUGGUCCUAGUGUUUACUUCUAGUAUGGGUACGAUUCCUCCUACGAGUAGUGUGUUGAGUAUACGACUCAUGAGAUAACUCAUAUCUUGAUCAGUUUUUGGGUUUUUUAGGUCUUUUUCUUAUCUUUCUAUUCAAACACUGUUGUAGACCUAUUUUACCUACAAUAUACACCAAAGGUCAUCAUAUCUAAAAAAACACCCUAAGUUCAUGCAGAAAUUUAUGAUUUUAAGCAUCGAAAGUGUCGUGUUUCCAUGCCAUAUCAACACCUUCAAUUUAAACUUUGCAUGUCCUCAAGCAAACAAAACCAAAUAAAUAUUUUCUAGUACUGAGAUGAUGCUUAAAUAGGAAGUUCUCAAGAAACCCAUGGCAGUGAUUUUGAACUUAAUUUCAAUCUUGUUGUUCUCCCCUUUAAUUCUAACUUUCAAAACACAGCUGCUUAUAACAAUUUAGCACAUAUAGAAGCAUUAGGGAAUCCGAUGAUGACAUUACAUUAGCAAUAGACACUUGGGCAUAGACACAGAUUACAUUUAUCAAACAUUCUAUCAACCUAGUAGUAUAACCCAAGUGUGCUUACAGUUAAAGAAAUCUCAUUCACUCUCCUUUGGACAAAUCAAUCUAUUCAAUGAUAUAACAAACAACUCUCUCACUCAUAAAGAAGUACCACCGAUGCAUACAAAAUACCAUAGGCUUGCCAUUAUGCUUUUUUCCUAAGUUUUCAGACUAUCAUGAUAGAAUCACUAUAGGACUUUGUUUGACUUGUAAUGUAGGCUUGGGGGCUAGUAUGACACGUAUGGACAUUUAAAGUGACUAACCCUCCUUGGUACUACACUAACUUAUAGGGUCUGCACUUAACCAAUUUUUCACUUUAUUUGUUUCCAUCCGUAUUUCUCCCUUUUUAUUUUAAAGCAUAUUUAGGUUGGUUGUGGUCUUCGAUUCUUUCUUUUUUUUCUGUUUUUCUACCACACCUAGCCUUACUUUAUUUUCUCUUAAUUUACCCUUCUUUAUACUCAUUGCACAUCACACACCCCUAUGAUACCUACCCUCAACUUAGGCGAUUUGCCUGAGUUGAAGUGCACCAUGUCUAAAGAGGACCAGGGGUAAAAUAGGUUCAUUGUAGUACAAAUGGGAAAGUGAUAGGUGUAACAAUAAAAAUAGGCAUAUAGGCUCAAAAUUGGGAGCAAAGGAUAUCAUUCACUCAUGGAAGGACAAUUUGGCUAAAAGUGAACUAAUAUCAAAAAUGGCCUAUGAUCUUCUCCUACCUAACUAUUCUAGAACUAGGUAAAAGCAAUCGGGCAAGUUCUAUAUUCCAACACACCGGGAACUCAGUAUAUCUCACACGCACUUGCACAGGGCUAUAUUACUAAGUACUAGUUAUCCAACUAUGAAACUAUUUUGUCCCUCACUAUUCUAUCCCUAAUCAUAAUGCCAUUUUCAGAUUCACAACAUUCUCACACAAGUAUACCAAUCAUGCAAUCAAACACAAAAACUUUCUGAGGGAACACCUUUUCAACACAAUUUUCAUUAAAACAUAAAAUCUAGCAUAAUAUCCAUAAGUCAAAUCACCCUCAUCAAAAAAAUAAAAAUAGAAUUUUCAUUACAAAUCAAAAUUAUCAAGAAAAAUAAUCAAUCCACUGCCAUAGGCACGCUAAUCUACUCCCUAUCUCAGCAGUCUACGUCAAGACUGUAAGUCAUAACAGACUUUCAGUCUUAGCUACUUAUACUUUAUAGCUACUCCCAGAUGUUUUAGAAUAACCCCCAUCCCCAACUAAAAAUUGCUAUACUGUCCCCAGUGCUACAACAAGAAAAACAGAGUAAGGAUAAGGGUCAUACCUAGGCUCUCAAGGUGCGAGUGCAUCAUCAGUCGUACAUGGGCCUGCAGAUCAGGUCCCGCUCCCAUCAGCUAUCAUCCCAUCAAUCGGGAUCGAAUCAACCAUAGACAAGGGCAUAACAUCAACCCAUAAAGUAUCAACAACCUGAUCUCUCGAUCUAUUAGCUCCAGCAGCUAUCUCACAGACCCUGGUUUCCCAGUCUCGCUUAUCCUGAUUACUACCCGCUCUGGCUCUCUUUCAGUUUCUCACUUUUUUUAAUUUUUCUCUUUCUCUCUCUUUUUUCUUCUUUGGUAUCCUCAAAUUGAAUAUCUGUCGGGUCUUCCCAAAUAUUAGGAACAUGGAUAGUAGGAAUCACAAUCUUAAUGACAGGCUCAGCAAACACUGGUCUCUCAUAAAGCUCCAAGACCAUUUUCUUGAUCUCCACAACUACAAUUCAGAUAUCAACAACAUUAGACGUCUUUCCUCUGCUUAACUUUUGAGUAAUCCUCGACUCAAAAUUUUCUAGGCACCCUUGAACUCUCCUAUCCUGCACCUCAGGCCUCCUAUCAAGCCAAUGUCUCACUCCUUCUUCCAUAUGACGUACCUUUACAUUAAGCGUAGUUAACUGGGUUACAACCUCGGUCCAUAUAGCCUGGAAGAUCAUUAUGAUACGUGGAGGCAUACCUUAUGGUGUAGGUGACACUAACUGGACUGGUGAUGGGUCACUAAAAGUACCUGCUUCAUUUGUAUGUGUUCUCUCUAUCUAUGCUCCUGCCUUAGUAGACUCAGCUAUAGCAGGGGAGUCUUUCUAAUCAUCUUGCAGGAACAAUCCCACCAUAACCUCUACUACCUGUCUCAUAGGUCGGGCCAAAGGUUUGGCAGCAUCUCUAAUCAAACCAUUAUCAAACUUUCUUUGUGCCUCUAUCAACUCAUCAAUCCCAGGGAGUUCUAGUACUCCCGCAGCAAGCAAAAUCUGAGUAAUCAUAUUAGGGUUGACUAGCAAUGCCUUUUUAUACCAUACUACCCUAUCUCGCAGUUCCCGAGAUAAAAACUCACCAACACCAAACUCAUAACUUGCUAUGAAACUGGCUAUCAUGGUUACUCGUACUAGGCUCAAUACGUCAUCUCGUAUAGUAGGGCACAGCCUGUGCCGAGCCAAUGUCCACCAUGCUUUUUCCUCAUAGUUGAAGGUACUCUUCUUAAUCUUCUAGGAGACCACCCCGGGGCCUCUCACUACCCAGAUAUCAUUUUCUCUAUGUGUAGCAAUGCAUUCUGUAAUUUAUCUAAGCAUCACCAUCUUAUCAUCAUAACCCAAUGAUCUCUGUGUAACUUUUCUCAUCUCCGCUAUCCUGUAUCCAUCUCUUCUGUGUUGACCAGAGUCUGGUACUCUGGUCUAUAUAAAAAUCUCCUAAUGGUACAGGGAAAGAUGUUUACCCAAACACCACAAAUCAUUAGUGACUCAAUCAGAUCACCACCCUUCCACAAUUGACCUUGUAGAUAUUGCCUAUGAAGUUCUACUUUGUAUGCGGCAUAAAAUUUAUGGACCUGUACUUCACUAUCUUUUCCCGGUGCCCGUAUCAUCCAAUCAAAACCAUAAUAAUCUAAAGCGCUUCUCAAAUCCAGGAAAUUCUAACAUCCCUGUGGUGGUCAUUCUUCUCUCUGAAUAUAGCACCUUUUUAUCAUUCCACAUGGAAGACUGAACAACCCACUGUUGAAUGUAUCCUGUAUUUUGGGUACCCCCAUCAUUCAAUGAUAGGCAUCGAGGCAGUGGUAAGUACUAGUGGUGGGUCUUGUUGGGCUAUUGGUGGCACUUCAUUCACAUCUCCCACAUCUUUAGCAUGCUCAAAAUUUACCUCUUCCGAAUUGGACUCAGCCUCAUAAUCACUAUCAUCUUCAUCAUUAACAUUAUCAUCAUCGGAAGGUCUUUGUAGUAUAGUGUUGAGUAUUCCUACCUAUCACAUGGGUAACCCGAGUUCGAUCCCUGAAAAUGGCACCAAAAUUCAAUGUGACCCAAAACUACACUCCUCUCAGAAGUAUAAUAUGGUCGAUUGCAAAUAUAAUAACCCAACUAAGUUAGGGUCGAUUCUACAGGGAAAACGUGAAUAGUUGCUUGGCUUAAUGUAAUCCACGAGCAGUACAGGAAAGUAAAUGGUGGGGUUUAUAGUAUCAAUUAUAAGUAGUAACCAACUAUUGAGUGUUUUUGAGUUAUAAUUAAUAAGAGAUGAACACUAGGUCUGUGCUCCUCCUGGCUUCUCAGCUCCAUAAAUUUCUCGUGAUCAACCCAAUUGUUGUUUUAUUCUGCAGGCAAAGUCUAAAAGAUAGGUAUUAUCAACUGCUGGGUAAGAUAGUAGAUAAAUUUCACCCUUUACUGGGUAAGUCUCAGGGUGUAGCCUUGUUGCCCUUUUAAGACCUCAGUUCAAUUAUUUGGGUAGGAUUGAGUGAUUAGAUUAGAUAGCGGGAACUAAAAGGUGGAGAUGAAUCCAAAAUCACUAUCCUAAUAUUGUUUUCCCAAUCACAAGAUCCUUGGUAGGAAUGGAUGCAAAUACAGGCUAUCUUAAGGUACUGCAGAUACUUGAGAUUAAUUAUUAUGAAUAAGAUUAUGAUACAUGAAGAAACCCUAGAACAAUUGAAUCUCGUACUUUCUCUACCUAGCUAAUUCUCCAGGGUUCCCACAACCUUUGUCAAGGAGAUUAGCGACUCAUGUUUAUACAAAAAUCCAUGAUUAUCAAUGAAGAACACAUAAAAUUAAUUGCACAAGAAUAAGAUGAUUUAACUCCAAAGUCAUUAAUUGAAUAAACCAUAAAAUCUUAAGAACAGUUUGAAAGUAUUGUAAUAAUAUGUAAAAGAAUGGAAAAGAAUAUCCAAGAGUGUAACCUAAUAAAAUAUAAACCCUAGAGUAUUUAUAUUAUCUCAAAAUAACCUUAAAUCCUAAUAAAAAUAGAAAAGUUAAAGUUAAGUCGGCAUUCGAUAUGACUCUGUCUUUACUCGUAUCGGCAUCAUACAAGUCUACCCUGCCUUGUCAUAUCUAUUCCAGUGUUUGAUCUUCCCUUUGUUUUAACUUUCUGUGCAGCAUACGACUUCUUCUAACGAGUCGUACAUGAAUGUAUGACUCGUGUCCUUCAACCGUAUCCACUUUGGACUUUUGUCCUUCCUAAACUUGAACACUGGUUUGUAUACAACAUCCUUAUACAAGUCAUAUUCAGACUUCUGACUCGUAUACUUCUAACACUUCAAUCUUUGAAUAGUAUCUUAGGUUUCAUUAUUCUUACGACUUCUCUACACGUCUUACACUAUGGCUAACAAAAGUAAUGUAUAACACUACAAAGAAUGAAUGUUAUGUUUCAUUCCCUAGUAACGGUGCCAUUUUUAUAAUGCUCAAAUACACCCUAGAAUUAAAUGUAUCCAAUCGUUAACAAUACUUUUACCCAGCUAGGAGUCAGGGUCAAAUCCACAGGGAAUGAGAGCAAUAGCUCACUCAAGUAUUGCAAGAAACAAUUAGUUGGCACGUAAUGCUUAAAUAAAUACAAAUAAGUAAAAUGAGGGGUUACCUUAAAAAGCUUUUUGUAUUCAAAAUUAUCAAAAUUGAUAUUAUUUUCCCAAAACCAAAAGCUACUGAGUGUAAUCAAAUUGUAAAGGUACUUGGGGUUAUUCCUUCUUAAGAGUGAUUAUGAGUGUAGGUAAGCUAAAAUACCUAAAAUUCAAGUGGAAAUGAUGAUUAACUAGGUCUUAAUUACUGGAGAUAGUCUUUCAAUCUACCACCAAAUUUCAUGAGGGUUUCUUCUGAACUCCCACAUGUGUAUAAUACCAAACAACCAAAAACCUCAAAUUAGUUUGUCUAUUUCUAGCACUAGCUAUUAAGUGAGAAAUUCUCAAGUCUUUUUUAAUUAAAUCUCUCCACUUUUAUUUUCUCUUUCAAGCUAAACAACAUAUUUAAGGAUGAAUUGAAUUUGCAAUCUCAAUUAUUUAGUAGAAACAUAGAGAUUUAGCUAAAGUCACAACACUCAAUCGAAUAUUAAGGUAAAAUAAUAAGCACCCAAACAUUAAUCAACACCCAAUAUAAAUAACCUCAAGCUAGGAUGUAAGCUACUCAUAACAAGAGAAAAAGGAAAUAUACCUAUAUUCUCAUUAAAUUCCGACAUAGAAUCCACAGCAAUCAAGAAAAAAUUCAAAUUCAAAAGCGAGAAAAUAGUAAUAAACAACUAAAAUAUAACUAAGGUCUCAACUACAUGCUAACGAUUCAAGAAUUUAAGGUUUUCAUCAAUUAAGAUUGCUUAAAUAUCUCCAAAAAAAUCAUGCCUUGGAUUUACGAAAAUAGCACCAUGUCCAAUUUAGCUAAAGUGAAAAUGAUCACCGAUCACAUUUAUGAUGCAACAAAUUGUGUCAGGGCUCACUGAAAUAUCAAUACACUAAGCUCCAAGGGUUGGCAUCUGUCCUAUUUGGCAAUGGGACAUGGUUGUCAUCAUUUCAUUCGAUGAUCACUGACAUGUGCUUCUCAUUGUAGUUUUCUCCAAUGUUGGACUUGACCUCAUUUAUUACAUUUGGUGAUAGAUUUUUUCUUUUGGCGAUACGAAUGUUAUUUUUGAGAUGCACCGAUUCUCUAAGGUGGUUGGUUCUCUUUUACACUUUUCGCUUCGAUCUUCUAUCUUUUUGAUUUUUUCUCCUUUAUCCACUUCUCGUCCUUAACCUUGAAAUUAAACCAAAAAAUCAUUAAAAUGAAUCUAAAUUAGUGUUGAGGACAUGAUUUUUUUCCAUUUUUAGGUCAAAUGAGUCACAAUUUGCUGACUCAUCCCUAACUAAAGUCAAACUAAUAACUUUUAAAGCGUUUAAGGGUUUAAAACUCUUCCAAAUCAUUCUUGAUUGCACCAAGGACCAUGCUAAUGAUCCCCACACCAUAAAUCAUCAUGUAACAAUUUUAGGGAAAGGCAAAAUAGUCAAAACACAUAAAAAGGAAAAUUUUGCAUAACAGAUUGUUACUUUAUCCAGCACUAAAAGACUAUUUCAUCCUUAAACUAAAAGCAAACAAAGUACCUGAAGCGUUGAAAACUUGGGGGAAUCUACAAUGAAUAUUGGACUCAACCUCCCAAGUAUCCUCCUUAAUAAGGAGAUGUCUCCACUGUACUUUCAUCGAAUCAAUGAUAUUGGACCUAAACUUCUUAGUCUAUCUAUCUAGAAUAUAGGAUCCUCCUUAAAGGACAAAUCAGGGUCUAACACAAUGGAAUCCCAUCGAAUCAUGUAGGUAUCAUCUAUACGGUACCUCUUUAAUAUAGAAAUAUGAAAAAAGGAUGAACAAAUAAUAAAUGUGAAGGAAAAUCUAGCCUAUAUGCCAAAUCACCAUACUUCUCAAAAUCUCAAAAGGUUCAAUAAACGUCGAACUAAGCUUCCCUUUCUUCCCUUUCUCCAACCAAAUAUGAUGCAUAACGGGAUCAAUGGUCGGCAUAACUUUUUUGGAUACUCCAGAUAGCUAAUAGCAUUUACUGAAUUAGUCUUACAUGAUUCAUUGAUUCUUUCAAGAGUUUUAUACCCAAAGGUCGUAUCUCAAACGAAUCACACCAUCCCAUGGGGAUCAACACCUCCGACCACAUAAAGCCUCAAAAGGAGCCAUAUGAGUAUCAAAUAGGUAACUAUUAUUGUAGGCAAACUUUGCUAGGGGCAAGUACAUCGUCCCAAUGACCUUCAAAGUCUUUGACACAUGCUCGUAGCAUAUCCUCUAGCACCUGAAUUUCCAUUCCUCUGAAGGUGAAAAGCUAUUCUCAAAUUAAGCUGAGCACCCAACUCACUCUGAAUAUUACUCCAAAUACUCGAGGUAAACAUAGUACCUCUAUUGGAUACAAAGGAAAUAGGGACAUCAUGUAAUUGAAAAAAUCUCUCUACUGCAGAUCUUAGCCAACUUCUCUGCAUUAUAAUUCGCCCUCACAGGAAUGAAAUGUGUUGAUUUUGUCAAUUGAUCCUCAAUUACUCAACAGAGUUAACCUUCCCUAAAGUUGAGGGCAGGCCAACAAUAACAUCCAUGGUGAUCUGCUCCUACUUCCACUUGGGAAUGGGUAUCCCUUCAUCAUACCACUCAAUUAUCGAUGCUCAUACUUUACUUGUUGGAAAUUCAAAAACGUAGCCACAAACUCCAUAAUAUCCUUCUUCAUAUCACCCCAACAAUAAUGUUUCCUUAGAUCAUGAUGUAUCUUGGCUUCUCCUGGAUGAAUGGAAUAUCUAGAAAAAUGAUCCUCCUUAAAGAUUAAUCUAACCCAUCCACCAACUCUCGAACAUAAACCCGGCAACUAAUCUUCAAAACACUAUUAGAAUCAAAAGAUGUGGCCUUAGCCUCUCCACUCAACACCUUAUCAUGAAUCAUCCUUGCCCUAGCAUCAUUAAACUGAUGAACUUGAACUUGAAUCUGCUCCAUCAAAGAAUGCGUAGCAUCAACAAAUGCUAACAUAUAUCAAGUCUAACCAACUGGUUAGCUAAAGAUUGAACCUCCAAGGCCAAAUACUAUUUUUGAGUCAAGAGAUGAUCUAGACUCGCCAUACUAGUUGACUUCCAACUCAAGGCAUCCACAACAAUAUUUGCCUUGCAUGAGUGAUAAAGAAUAGUGGACCAUAGUCCUUAAGAAAACUCAAACCAAUACCAUUGUCUCAUAUUAAGAUCUCGCUGAGUAAAAAAGUACUGAAGGCUAAGGUAAUUCAAGAAAAUAUCAUAAUAGACCCCAUAAAAGUAAUGACGCCACAACGUUAAUACAAAGACAACUUUUGUCAAAUCUAAGUCAUGGCUAGAAUAAUUUUUCUCAUCGGUUUUUAACUAAAGAUAAGUAUAAGAAAUCACCUUACCCUUUUGCACCAACACAGCACCCAAACCGACACUAAAAGUAUGGUAAAUCCCAUUCCCUCCUUGGGAAUAGUCAAGAUAGGUUCCGAAGUCAACAACUCCUUGAGCUUUUAAAAGCUCACCUCACAAGCAUCCAACCACUAAAAGACUACCUUCUUCUGAGUCAACUUAAUUAAAGGUGCUCCAAUAGAAGAGAACCCCUCUACAAAAUGAUAGUUAACCCGCUAAACCAAAAAAAUUCUAAAUUUCAAUAGGAAAAGUAGUUAGUUCAAUCACAAACUACUAUUAUCUUGGCCGAAUUAACCAUAAUGCUAUCUUUAGAACAACAUAACCUAAGAAAGAAAUAGAAUCUAACUAGAACUCAUACUUGGAUAACGUAGCAUAUAACUUCUCAUAUGUAAGCUCUAAAGUACAAUCCUCAAGUGUUUCAUAUGAUUGUACUCAUUAUUGGAAUAAACCAAGAUAUCAUCUACAAAUACAAUCACAAAGCAGUUGAGAUACCAUUGAAAUACUCGAUUCAUGAACUCCAUGAAUGUUGCUAGGAAAUUGGUCAACCCAAAGGAUGUGAUCAAAAACUAAUAAUGAUUGUAUCGAGUUUGAAAAACCAUCUUUGGAACAUCCGAAGCUCUAAUCCUCAAUUAGUGAUACCUAGAUCUCAAGUCAAUUUUGAAAAACACCAAAGAACCUGAAGUUGGUCAAAUAAAUCAUCAAUCUAAGAGAGAGGAUACUUAUUCUUAAUAAUCACCUUAUUCAGUUAUCGAUAAUCAAUACACAUAUGCAUAUAGAAUCAUCAUUAUUCUUUACAAAAAAGAUAGGACCACCCCAAAUGCAUACACUAGGCUUAAUGAAAUCCUUACUCAACAAAUUCAAUUUUUACCUUUUUAAUUCCUUCAAGACAAUCGGGGCCAUUCUAUAGGGAGAAAUAAAAAUGGGCUUAGUGCCAUCUCAAUAUCAACUGUAAGAAAAAAUCAUAAUUCAGAGAAAUACUAGCAAAUAUAUGGGAAACGCAUCCUAAAAUUCCCUAACAACUUGAAUUGAAUCAAAGGACAUGGUGAAGUAACACUGGUAUUGCUAAUGAAGGCCAAGAAAAAUCAACAUCCUUUUUCUAAUAUGUAAUGAGUACAUACAAAAGAUUUAACUCCCUUUGGCCUCAAAUUGAGGGUACCCUUCCAAGAUAACGUUAGUACAUUCAAAGUAGCAAGAGUCACGAUCUAGCCAUAACAGUCCAAAAUAGCAUGACAGAUAGCUAAUCAAUUUAUUCUAAAGAUAACAUCAAAAUCAACCAUAUCUAAUAUUAUUAAUUCUAUCUAAGUAUCACGCCCUACAAGGAUAACAAGAUAAGAUCGAUAAAAUAAUUAAUUCUACUUGGGUCUCACACCUUGCAAGGAUAACAAGACAAGAUUGAUACACUCAACCCACCACUAAAGAAUCUCCUACAAAGGUAAAAACACUAAUAAGAACAAUAAGGGACUCAUAUACAACAUCAAAACUAGUAGCAAAAUAUAUAGACACAUAUUAGAAUAUAGAACUUGGUUCAAAUAAUGUGAAAGCAAAUCAAUAGAAAUUAGGAUGAUACUUGUAAUAAUUGUAUCAGAGGCCUCUGCCUCAAGUCUCCUAAGUAUAGAAUAACACUGACCACAUCCAAUCCUAUAAUAAGAAACCUCAUGUCCACCACCAUAAGUGCUCCCAACUCUACCUCGAGCAACUCUUGUACCACCCGUUCCACUCUAUAAACCAACUUGAACUAUAAAAAAUAUGAGUAGGGUAAAGUUGAAUCUAAAAACCCUGUUGGGAAGAACCAAACACAUAUUGAGGAUAGUCCUUUAUUAAAUGACCAACCUCAUGAAAUACAUAACACCCUGUGCUUCCUGAAUUAAUCUGUGGAGACCUAAAAGAAUUAGGACAACUGCUCUGGUCCAAUAAACUAAAACAAGAACCUCCUUCUGCCUGACAUUAUGCCUGACUACCAGGAUACAUAUCCUACCACCUAAUCCCUAUAAAUCUACUCGAUAGGCCUACCAUGAUAACUAUAGAACCUUGACUAGAGAAAUUUCUACCUUGGGAUGCUUGUUCAUAAACUCACCCUUAUGGUGUACCUUCUUGGUGCCUCCCUGAGUAACUUGGGUAAUUGAAUCAAUAAACUUAGAAUGCUCUACAAUAUUCUAAAAAAAAUAUCCUGAAACUACCAUCUAAGAUGUAGCAAAUUGAUAAGAACAUGUUAAUCCCUUGACAAACUUCCUAAUCUUUUUUUACUUAGCAGAGAUAUUGGUAGUGGAAUAUCAAGAUAAAGCAUUAAAGUAUUCCUCAUACUCAAUAAUAGAUAUGGAUACUUGAAACUUAUAUCACAUAUAAUCUCUCAAACUAUAAGGCAUGAGCAUCUCUAGAAAAUCCUUAGACAAUUGGGACUAUGGCAUGGCAGGAGAAUGGUCUAUAACUAAAAGGAGACUCUAUCAUAAUCUACCAACAUCAAUCAACUAAUAAGUUGUAUAAGCUACACUAUAAUACUCAAGGGAUUUAAGGCUACGAAACCUCUCUAGAAAGUCAAUUAGAAAAUCAUAGCAUCUUCUCUAAUUGUACUACAAAACUUAGGAGGAGUUAAGUGAAUAAACCUCAAAAACCUCUUUUAAUCAUUAGAAGACAUUACAAGAUCCAAAGCAAUUGGGGGAAUACUAAGACUAAUAGGUAGCAAAUCCAUAGAUAGAGUACUAUAACACCCCAGAUGUUUACUUCUAGAAAAUUCUGAAUUUAGAACUUACUAUCUAACCUACAACUCACCUUACGAGUUGUAAGGUAUCCUUACGAGUCGUAAGGUGUCCUUACAAGCCGUAAGGUAUCCUUACGAGCCAUAGAAGCCAAAUCGUUGUCUGGCCAGUGAGUAGCAUUAAUGUUAUUUUCUUGAUUAUGACUAGAGUUCACGAGUCAUAAAGACUCAUUAUGAGUCGUAGCUUUCAAAUCAUAAGGUAACCAGUGUAUGCCCAAUUGGAUUCUAUAUUAAUUAUGAUUGGACCCUAUGAGUCAUAGGGUCUCAUUAUGAACAAUAGGUUACAAGUUGUAGGACCAAUAGUGUGUGUGUGUGCCUAAGGAAUCUGCCUUGACUAGGAGUUUAGGGAUAAAUUUAACCUAUUCGUUAUAAGUCGUAGGGUAACUCGUAAUGUUUGGGUAAAUUUUAGUAUUUUAAGUAAGGGCAUUAUGGUCAAUUCCCUCAUUCCCCACUUAGACCCCACGUACAUAAAAUACCUUGGACCAUUAUUUCCAACAAUUAUCAAUCAUAAACAAUUUGUUUACUCUCUCAAACUCUCUUAAAUUCCUAAGGCAAGAACAAGUUAGGGUUUCUCAAAGUUGGUCACCUAAGGGCUGAAGGGUUGAUUUCUCUCCAUAAUCUUUACAUCUCAGGCAUGUUACUCUUCCCCAAAUCUUAUUUUUUUGAAAAUCAUGUUUUUAAAUAGUUUAAUUGUAUGGAUUUAAAUGUGGGUUUUGACAUGGGUUGAGGGUUUUAGAAUGGUUGAUCCUUGAAUUAUUUUUCCAUGGUUUUCAGGAGUUGUUCAUGCUUUGAAUUGAAUGUUUUUUAACUAAUAAGAUGCAUGGAUGUGGGAAUCGGAAUGGGGGUCAAGGUAAUCCUCUAAAAUUGAUGUUUUGAUCUUGGAAAUUGAUUUUGAAAAAUUGUAUUCCCUCAACCUACUUGUGUAAAUGGCUUUGAAUUAUGGAAUUGUCAUUUCAUUUAACUUACUCGCCUACAUUGUUGCAUUACAUAAAUGAAUAAACAAUGAACAUGGACUUUAAAGGCAUUGUUUUCUAUGAGUUUAUCUGAUAAACAAAAAAAGGUUGAGGCACUCUGCAGAAUGGUUGAUCCUUGAAUUAUUUUUCCAUGGUUUUCAGGAGUUGUUCAUGCUUUGAAUUGAAUGUUUUUUAACUAAUAAGAUGCAUGGAUGUGGGAAUCGGAAUGGGGGUCAAGGUAAUCCUCUAAAAUUGAUGUUUUGAUCUUGGAAAUUGAUUUUGAAAAAUUGUAUUCCCUCAACCUACUUGUGUAAAUGGCUUUGAAUUAUGGAAUUGUCAUUUCAUUUAACUUACUCGCCUACAUUGUUGCAUUACAUAAAUGAAUAAACAAUGAACAUGGACUUUAAAGGCAUUGUUUUCUAUGAGUUUAUCUGAUAAACAAAAAAAGGUUGAGGCACUCUGCAAAUUUGACUUGAUGAACAAAGAGGGUCGAGGCAUUUCCUCAAGUUAAUGAAAUUGUAAUGGCAUAAUUAUGAGCUUGUAAGUGUAAAGGUAUGACGAUACCUGUGGUGUGCCUUAAUGUGUAAUUCUAUGGUUUAAUAAGAGUUUUAUGUAAAAUUUAUAUUAAUUCAGAUUAAAGGGGGUUGCGUAGCUUACCGUGAACGUGUAAGUCCCAUGAAGGACGAACACUGAAUAUCACAUUUGUCGGUGUAGGGGUCUUGAUGAUUGUGUGCAUAGUUCAUAUUAUAUAUAUGCAUAUUGGAUAGGCGUGGUAUUGGGGCAUUCCCUGGUCUUCCUUAAUAACCUAACUUGUGUGGUUAACACACAUUAGGACCCUUUUGUAGGGUGAGAGUUAGACCCAUAUAGCCCGUGGGUAUAAAUGAUGGGACAGCUGCACAGUCUAGGCUGAUGUCUUAUUCAUUCUAAGACUUGUUCCCUAUCUCAACAUGUUAUAUAUAUGUAUAUAAUUAUGUGCAUUGGUUUUGAUUGAUUUUUGAACUGAUUUGAUCAUGGAAUUAUUUAAUCCCUUCCUUAAGUUAUAUGAUAGAGUUCAACCUGCUAACUAUCUUUGGACGUUGUAUCCCCAUGCGAUGCAGGAACUGAAGACACUUCUGUCUUUCCUACAUAGUGAUAGGUGACUUAGACCAUGUAUGUGUUAGCUUAAAAUGGUGAGCCUCCUUCUCGCGAAAGGUUGUUACUUCUUAGUUUAUCUCAUGUCAUAGACUAGUUCUCAUGGUUUAUUUUGGUUAUUGUUGGGGCAUGUCCCAGCUUAGAUUAUUCUCAAAUAGUAGAGGCGUUAUGGAUUACUGUGGAUUGAGAUGCUAGUGAAUUCUUAGAACUUUCCUUAUUAUUGGUUAUUCUAUCUUUGUAUAUGUUCAGAAUUCUUCCGCUGCUAGUAUGUUGUGUUCUAUUUGACUAGGCAAAGGGGGUGAUCUCCUAUCCUCGACAGACUUGAAGACCCAAAAAUCCUCUUCACCUAUAUUAAAUUACAACUUUGGCUUCAAGGCCCAAAUGAAUGAAAAAUAGAUAAAUAAAGAAAGAAAGAAAGAAAAAUACAAUAAUAAAAAUUGAGAAUUUUUAAGUCUUUUAGCGACCUCAUCAAUGGGUUUUGACCCAUUUUCAUUCUUCUUCCAUCUUCUUUCACCCGCACACCAUAUAAUUGACUUUGGAUUUAAACUUCAGACUUUAAUCGAAGAGUUGGGCCUCAUUGGCCCAUUAGAAAAUUCAUGAGGAAAAGAGUCCAUUUGGACUCCAAAAAAGAUUCAUGCAAAAAAAAAAGAUAGAAGAAAAAGAAUUAAUAUGUGUUCAAAAAUUCUACACCUGAUAGAUAAAUGAUGAGAUGGAAAAAUAGUAUUCUCAAGCAUAAAGAAAUAGUAUACUAUGAUAUCAAAAACAAAUGAAAUUAUCCAGCGAAAAGGAAAUUAACCUAUUUCUCAAAGAAUCUUACAAAAAAUCGAGUCUAGCACAAUAUAAUCAACUGAUCCUUGAAAAGAAAAUGUUGACCCACAAGUAUAGUUACUUAAAAUUUGGACAAUAUUUCCUAUAGAUUAACACAUAUUUGCACCAGAUACUAUGACAUGAUAUAUUUCUUAAUUUCCUAUAGAUUAACACAUAUUUGCACCAGAUACUAUGACAUGAUAUAGUCUAAGACAUGUUUUUAUUAAAUAAAUAAAAGGGGAAUGAGCAUAAGAUGAGAAAAUCUUUUUGUGACAUCUCAAAUAUAUAAUACAAAACAUAUUAACGCAAUAAUACUUUUUUCAAUACCGAAUGGAUUCAAUCAACAGAUUUGAAGAAAAAUUCAUGGUAGUAUGUGAAUAACAAUGGGACGUCUAAAUUCACAAAAAUACUUCAAAAAAUAAAUCAAUAAGAGAGGUGAAGUAAAUAGCAUUUAUUAAAAAUGUUUGAGAAGUUAUAUUCAAAGACAAGAUAGGAAAAAUGACAAAAUAUUAAUUCUAAGAAAAAAGUGUCCAAUUAUGUCAACUCCUAGUUUAGUUUUACACCAUUUCAAAAAAAUCUAUAACCCUAAACAUAACACAUGAUAUGCCUUUCAAGACUAAAACCGUUUAACCGGUGAUUUUGCAAAUCGCUAGGCCACAAACAUAACACAUUAUCAUAUGCCUUUCAAGACUAAAACCAAAUUCCUAGAUACGGGUAACUCGCUACUUCAGUGAGAAACAAUUUUACAGACUCUUAACAAUAGUAACUAUUCUUUUUUGACAUAAAGGAAACAACUUUACAUGCUAAAAGUAAACAUAUCCGCCAAAUAACAAAUUUAACAAGGAAUGAGUAAGUAUUUUAAUCAAGAAAAGGUAGAAACUUUUUCCAUCUAAUUUACUAAGGCAAGACAAAUAAUACUAACUAUCAUAAAGGAAACAACUUUUCAUGCUAAAACCAAAAAUAUCCACCAAUAACGAAUUUAAACAUGGCAUGAGUAUGUAUUUUAAUCAAGAAAAGGUUGAAACUUUAAAGGCGAAACAAACAAUAGUAACUAUUCUUUUCAACAUAAAGUAAAAAAAGUUUUACAUGCUAAAAGAGAACAUAUCCACCUACAACGAAUUUAAAUAAGGAAUGAGUACGUAUUUUAAUCAAGCAAAGGUCGAAACUUUAUCCAUCUAAUCAUAAUAAUCAAAGAAUAAAGCCAAAGAAACACGUUCAACUAUUGUUAGCUCCUUUUAUACCAUGAAUAUAAAAUAUCCAUAAUAUUGAUAUCACAACUUCCUAUGGCCUUCAAUUCCUGCUACAGCAAACAAUCUCAGCAAAUAAAAUCACAACUACGAAACUAUGAAGAAGGAGAUGAAGAAGAAAAUGAUAACACAACUAAAAGGGAAAGGUGUAUUUACCUUUUUCAGAGUAGCGAAAUGGGACUUCAAACUUUCUUCGGAGUCUUGAUCACCACCAAAAAGCAAUCUUUCGAGAACCCUGCCUAGACUAUCGCUUGAAAAUUUUUAAUAGAUAAAAUUUAACUCUUUGUACAAAAGUUUUUUCAUUUCUUGAGACUUGCUUUCUACUAAAAUGGUGGUAGUAUUUAUAGGAAAGGAUGGGGAAUGAAUUCUUUGAAUCCACCAAUAUGGGAGAAAGAACUUACCGGUAUUUUUGGAAUUUUAAAUUAAGGGUAAGGUUUGUUGGAGGAUAAGAUGGGGUGAAAUUGUACAACCUAGUACAAAUUUUGAAUUUUAAAAAAUGGAAAAAGGACAAGGUUGAGGGGGAAUUGUACAAACUAGUACAAAUUUUGAAUUCAAAAAUGAAAAAGGGACAAGGUUGAGGGGAAAUUAUACAAGCUAGCCUAAAUUUUGAAUUUUAAAAUGGAAAAUGGACAGGGUUGAGGAGUAAUUGUAUAAUCUAGUACAAAUUUGAAUUUUUGGUUUUGAAUUGAUGUUGGCGAUUUCUUUUUUUUAAGUUGUUGUACGUUGGGUAAAGGAGAAAGUAAAUUGGGUCGGGUAAUGGAAAUUGUUGAUGGGUCGCCGAAGGGAGUGGGAUAGUGGGUCGGCUUUGGGUUGGUAGAAGUGUUUUGGGGUUAUUUAAAAAGUAGCCCCAAUAAAUUUAGGAUUUAGUCAUCUUAUUAAAUUUUCGGCCAAAUUGAAAUCAAUUGGCCAAUUGCGUUGUAAUUAUGAUCAAUUGGAUUUCAAUUAUGAUCAAAUUAAAUAGACCGACUAAAUUAAAUUAAACUUUGAUACGAAUUAAUGCCCAAUUUAAUCUCAAGAUUCUUGAUUAGAUAAAACCAAAUAAAUAUUUCUCAAAAUAAAUUAAUUUUUUAGAACAAAUUAUAUUUGAAUCAAAAUUCUAUCAAUUUGAAAUAAUUUUCAAGCUUAAUCUCAAUAAAAGUCCAAUUUUGAUAAAAAUAUUCAUUUAACUAGCAAAAUUUAUACAAUCUAGUGUAUGUAAAUAUGAAAACAUAUAAUCGUCACUUAAAUGACAAGAUUAAUCCAAAUAAAAUUUUAGAGCGCAUUUCUCUAGAUGAAAUAAAUAUUUUGAUUUUAUUAUAAAUCAAAGAAACUCAGGAUUAAAUUUAGUCGUGGAGGGCAAAAAUUAGCUGUCAACAGUAGGGUCUCAUUAUAAGUCGUAGGAUCAACAGUGUGUAUGUUCCCAAGGACUCUUCCUUGACUACUGGUCAACGGACGACUCGUAGUUAGUCGUUACAAGUGUAGGGUGACUCGUAACGACUAGGAAGUAAAUUUUAGCAUUUUAAGCAAGGGCAUUAUAAUCAAUUUCAUCAUUCCCCACUUAGACCCCACGCACACAAAACACCUUGGGACCAUUAUUUCCAACUCUUAUCAAUCAUAAACACUCUCUUUACUCUCUCAAACUCUCUCAAAUUCCUAAGGCAAGAACAAGCUAGGGUUUCUCAAAAUUGGUCACCUAAGGGCUCAAGGGUUGAUUUCUCUUCGUAACUCUUGACAAUUCAGGCAUGUUACUCUUCCUCAAAUCUUAUUAUGUAAAAAGCAUGUGUUUUAAAUGGUUUAAUUGUAUGGAUUUGAAUGUGGAUUUUGACAUAGUUUGAGGGUUUUAAAAUGGUUGAUCCUUGAAUUGUUUUUCCAUGAUUUUCAUGAGUUUUCAUGCUUUGAAUUGAAUGUUUUUUAACUAAUGGGGUGCAUGGAUAUGGGAAUUGGAAUUGGGGUUGAGGUAAUCCCCCAAAAUUGAUGUUUUGAACUUAGAAAUUGGUUUUGAACAAUUGUAUUCCCUCAACCCACUUGUGUAAAUAACUUUGAAUUAUGGAAUUGUCACUUAGUUAUACUUACUCACCUACACUGUUGCAUUACAUAAAUAGUUAAACAAUGAACAUGGAAUUUGAAGGCCUUGUUGGCUAUAAGUUGAUUGGAUAAACAAAAAGGGGUCGAGGCAUUCUCCAAAUUUGAUUCAAUGAACAAAAGGGGUCAAGGCAUUCUCCUAAGUUAAUGGUAUUGUAAUGGCAUAAUUAUGAGCUUUCAAGCAUAAAGGUAUAAUGAUAAGUGUGGUGUGCCUUAAUGCGUAAUUCCAUGGUUUAAUAAGAGGUUUAUGUGAAAAUUAUUUUAAUUAGGGUUAAAGAGGGGUGUGUAGCUUACCGUGAAGGUGUAAGUCCCUUGGAGGAAAAAUACUGAAAACCACAUUUAUUGGCGUAGGGAUCUUGAUGAUCGUGUGCAUAGUUCAUAUUAUAUAAAUAUAUAUAUAUAUAUGCAUCUUGGAUAGGAAUACGGUCUGGGCAUUCCCUUGUCUUCCUUGAUACCCUAAUUCAUGAAGUUAACACGCACCAAGACCCUUUUAGAAGGGUGAGAGUUUGACCCAUAUUGCCCAUGGGUAUAAAUGAUGGGACAGCUACAUAAUUUAGACAAAUUUCAUACUUUCGUGCUAAGCGUUGUUCCCUAUUUCGGUAUGUUAUAUAUAUGUAUAUAAUUGUAUGCAUUGGUUUUGAUUGAUUUUUGAACUGAUUUGAUCAUGGAAUUAUUUUAUCCCUUUCCUGAGUUAAAUACCAGCACUCAACUCGCUAACCCUCUGUCAUGCCUCGAGUCUGUACCCCGGAUGCAAUAUGGUUCUUACAACCCCAAAGGACCACAAGCUAACCCAUGACUUAUACUUGCUGUAAAAACUGAAUAAUAAUACUAAAAUAAUGUAGAAGUUAGGAUGAAAUACCAUAAGGUUCAAAAUAUGAAUAUUGUUAAAUUUAACAUCUGAUAAUAAUAUCUAAAACUAAAUACUGUCUAAACUAGUCUAGUCUGAAAAGCCUCUAACUGAACUAUCUGAAUGUGAAGUUGAUGGGACAAGCUCUCAACUAACUCCGACUACUAAAAUACUGAAACUACUGAAAUACUGGAAUAAAAGCAUAUCCUUGAUAGAUGAGGACUCACUACUACAUCUGUUGUUGCAAUCUAAAUUUGUCUAAGCAUGGUCGGGACCCUAAGCGUUAUAACCUAUGAUAUGAGACAUCAUAGCGCAAAGAGAAAGUAUACGUUAGUACAUGGAAUAUACUGGUAUACUAGAUGGGGUAAGGCUGAAUGUAAGGGUUCAUAUGCAUGAACAUUAACUGACUAAAUGGUAUGAAGUAACUGAAUUAAAGUACAUAGAAUACUGAAACUGCUAUAAAAUAUUGAGUAUGCAAUAAUAUGCAUAUACAUAUAUAUUGUAUCUUAUUUUUUACUGAAACUGAGUACUGAGUUUUGAUAAUUGAGUAACUUAUAUCAGAGAUUACUAAUAACUAAAUUACUGAUACUGAGUGACUAUUUUUGACAGUCCUAAUUUUGUAGAACUGAACUGAGUUCUAUACUGAGCUGGGUGACUAUGUCUGACAGUCCUGAUUCUGUAGAACUGAACUGAGUUCUAUACUAAACUAGGUGACUGUGUCUAACAGUCCUGAUUCUAUAGAUCUGAACUGAGUUAUGUACUGAGUCUGAUACUGAAACUAAAACUGUAGGAGGUAAUCAUCUAACUGAUAUGCCCCUCUCUGAAUAGAUUAUGGUCCUACCUAUAACCCCAGUUAGAAGGGUGUCAGUACCGUGCCAUGGGUAAGGACAAGCUAAAAAGUCACCCUCAUCUAGCAAAUGCCCUGAAUGAGAACGGUGGUACCCUCAACUAGCAGGUAUAAUACUUUAUCAACCCUCAACUGGCAGUUUGAUAUCUCAACCUACGCUAGCUACGUAGUUCUAUAAUACAAGGACUGCUACUAGGGAUUACACCCUCUACUGGUAGGUGAGCCCCCAUCCUUGGAUUUUCACUUAGUGCUGAAUCCUACUCCCAACUGAAGACGCUAAUUAUUAUACUAAGCUAAAAUAGACUGAUAAUGAGUUUCACUAAGUUCUGUACCUGACUACGUACUACUGUUCGUGAAAAGUGCUGAGACUAUACUGUAACUACUAUCGCUCUAGGUAAACAACUAGAUUUUUGGGUAUUGAAUACCCUAAGGACUCGAAAUCAUGGAAAGUGAAGCAUGGCAUGAUCUUGAAAAGCAUAAUAAUAGAUGUUUAUUAACAAUACAUUCACCUAGGCAUUUUGUCAAACACUUGAGAUGCAUGAACUUGUACAAUGAAUGGGACCACAUGAUGACAUGUCAGGAUUUCACUAUUCAAUUCACAUAGUAGUUCUAUCAAACACUUGGGGAGCUUGGUUAUUUUAUGUAAUAAUAGUCAACACAUGAACAUCAUAGAUACAACAAUCAAUUGUAAUUUCAAAGGUUUAACAUGCAAAUCAUAUAAUUCACCACACAUGUUAUUUUAAUUUUAUGAAACUUGUAGUAAAUCAUGGAUUGAAACCCAAAUAAUAUCAUGAACAUGAAUAAAAUCUAAUUCAACAUAAAAUUCAUGAAAGAAAUCAACUUGUAAUUUUAAAAGGGGUUCUUGAACUCGAAGGGUUAAAGGAAACCCUUGGAUGAACACCUAACUUACCUUGGUAAUCAAAUUCGUGAAGACUGAUGUUGUGUUCUUGAAGCUUGAAUUUGAAAUUGGAUGCUCUAGGAUUUGUUCUUGAGGAAAUUUGAGAGAGAAUAAGGGAUUUAGCCCUUAGAGUAGGUUAAUAUCGUGUUUUAGGGCUGAAUAAACGUGGAAAAAUGACAUAAAUACCCCUAUGGAUGUGAUUUGUUAAUUACUGAAAAUGUGCCCAGUGAUGCAAAAACUGACGUGUUGCGUCGAUGGUUUUGAUAUGAUGACCGACGCACCAAGUCGAGUUUGCAUUAGGUCACUGGAAUUUGCACUCUGACGCUGGGGAAAAUAUUCAUCGACGCGAUGCAUUGAUAUCGCGUCAACCCAUUGUUUUGGUCACCCAAACACGCUUUAAAUAAGGUCUGAAAAAAUCCAAAACUCACCCGAAGUACCUAUUGACACACUGAUCAUGAUUCAAUCUAAAGGAUUGACAUUUUAAGGUCAUGAGGGUCAUAAAAUAAUAUUGCCAAAUUAUCAAGGCUAAAAAUGAUUCUAAGUAUAGACUCUUGGCUAAAAUUUCUAAGUCUGGGACCUCUUUUAUCAUACUCUAAAGGACUGAGUUAAGCUAGGAUUUUGUAGGGUCUUACAUCCUUUCUAGAUAUUGUAACCCCAUGUGAUGUAGGAACCAAAGACACUUUUAUCUUUCCUGCAUAGUAAUAGGUGAUCUUGGACUCUACAUAAGUCAGCUUGAAGUGGUGAGCCUCUUUCUCCUAAAAGGUUGUUACUUCUUAGUUUAGCCCAUAUCAUAGACUAUUUGUCAUAGUUUGUUUUAUAUAUCAUCUGGGACAUGUCCCGACUUAGAUUAUUCUUGGAUAGUAAAGGCUUUUUGGAUUAUGUGGAUUGGGAUGUCAAUGAAUUCUUAGAAAUUUUCUUAUUAUUGGUAAUUCUAUCUUGUAUAUGUUAGAAAAAAAAUUGUUUCUAGUAUGUUGCGUUCUGUUUGACUAGGCAAAGGAGGUGGUCUUCGGUCCUUGGAGGACUUCAUAUACCCUUCACGUACAGGCCCUGGUUCGGAUUGUGAUAGGUACCAUAGAAGUUUUUUGUACCCUUGAAGUCAAAAAACCAUAAACAAAACCUAAAACUAAAGGCAAAACAUCACUCGAAGUCUAAUAUAUACCCAUUAUACUCAAAGAAACAUCAUCCAAAUGAAUCAAGAGACAAAUCAAUAGACCCUGUAGAACUGGGUGUCAAUCAAACCUUAUAGGACUUGAGUUAUCCUCACACCCUUUGAUUAAUAGUCACUCUUAUCACACUCAACCGCGGGCUCAAGAGAGGUCUCCUUAGCACGUUCUCUAACUGAGAAAGUUUCUCGGGCCUAUUUUCUACCUCAUGGCCAGCCACGACCCCUACCUUUCCCUUGACUUGGGCUCUAAUAUCAGGAGCUAGCUCUGCAUCCCUAAUAGCUCUGAUCCUAGUCCUCAGCAUCUGUUCAAAAAUAGAAUGUAAGUUUAUAAUAUAGGGUAUGAAUAACCUGCACGAUAAGGAAUUAAAUUAGAGAAAUUUUUUCUAAAGAAGUUUUAUAGCCUCUCAAAGAUAGAUAUGAAUGUCUAUGUACCGAUCUGCAAGGCUCUACGACAUCCUACUCUUGCACUUCUGAGAUCGGUGAACCUAGCGUUCUAAUACUAAUUGAUCACAACUUAAAAGUUAAGGUCAUGAUGGCACCUAUCGAGACCCAACCUUGGUAGGUAAGCUAAUUACCUAAAAAGAAAAUUGCUAUGUAAACUAAACAAUUGUAAUGCCCCGAGAGCAUACCCUGGGCAUCACACGGUGCUUAUAGUCCCGAGGGAUCACAAACUAACCCAUGAGCUGGUACCUGUUGUGAGCAAUAGAUAACAUGAUUAUAAAUACGGAAGAAUACUAACAUGCUUAUGGUUUUAAUAACUAAAUUCAAAACUGAAAUAUAAGUCUAUAGAAAUAACUGACUGAAUCUGAUAAAACACUAAUAAACUGGAUAACUAACUGUAAGGUCUAAAUACUGAAUAACUGAAUUUAAUAUCUGAUUAGCCUCUAAAACUAAAUGACUGUGAGUUGAUGGGACAGUCCCCAACUAACUACUAAACUGAGACAUGAAAUAAAAUAAGUUUAUCCUCGAUGUAUGAGGACUCACUACUGCUACUACUAAGGAUCUAAUAAGUCUAAUCAUGAGCCAAGAACUGAGCAUCAUAACCUAUGAUAUAAUACAUUAUUGUGCAAAAGAAAAGCUAUGCAAUCAGUACUUUGAAUGUACUAGUAUGCUAAAUGAGGUAGGCCAAUAUCCAUGCUUUGAUGAACAAAACUAAUAAUUAACUGAAUAUGCAUGUAAAGCAUGGAGUAUUGAAUAAAGAGCAUGAAAACUAUAGGUAUUCGGAAUAUGUAGAAAUCUGUAAAUACUGAGUAUGCAUGAAAAUUUAUAAAUACUAAAGAUACGUGAAAAUCUGUAGAUGCUGAGGAUGCAUGACCAAGCAUAUAACAUGAACUGAGUAAAAUCUGUAAACUAAAAUACUGAAAUAACUGGAAUAUGUAUGCUUUGGUCAAACAACACUAAAACUGAAUAACUGAACUAGGACUGCAACUGAGACUUUAUCUGAGACUGUAGGAGGUAUCAUCUAACCGAUAUUUCCCAAUUUGAGCUAAUCAGGGUCCAACCUGUAACCUUAGUUGGAUGGGUGUUAAUACCAUGCCACGGGUACUAACAUUGGCUGUUUGGAUCCACUAAACUAAGAUAAUAUCCAAAGGACUAAGGGUGUCAAUCCUAAACUGAUGGGUGACCCCUGCGAGAUAGUCAAGCCUAAUCUGACGGGUGACUUUUUAUAUCCUAUGCUGGCUACGUAGUUAUGGAAUAUAGGGACUACUACUAACGAAUUUUCCUAUCUGACGGGGAAGCUUCCAUCCCUAUACUUGCUCGGUGCUAAAUCCUACUCCCAACUGAAAGACACUGAAAUACUAGACUAUUUUGAGUUUAACUAACUGAUGUUCGACUGUCCUGAUAAUGCUCAUAGUAUGUUCUAAAGACUAUUAUUUAAUGUACUGAGACUAGACUAAAUAAACAUCUAUGGUUUUCAGGUAUUCAAUACCCCUAGGACUCAAAAAUAAUAAUAGUAAGAGGACACCAAAACUUGGAAGACAUAACAUGAAGGCUUUUAUUAAAUCAAUCACUCUUCAAGGCAUUUUAUCAAAUACUUGUACUUCAUAGUUUAGUCAAUUCAUGGGAAUAGAAUAAAAUUUGAAACAAUAGCAUGAUUUCAACCUUUAUAACACUAAAUCAUGAUCUAAUUUGAAGAAUGACAAUAAUAAAACAUGUGGGAAUUGAUAACAAUGAUAAUUUCGUUAAAGCAUGGCAUAAAAUCAAUAUUCAUGGAAGUUCAUGGAGAUUCAUAGUUUAAAAUCAUAAUUUAAUAUCAUAAAUCUAGAAAAGAUGAAAGAUUUGUAAUUAAAACAGAUACUUGGACUCCAUGGAUGAAAGAAAUCUAUAGAUGAACUCUAACAUACCUUAAUUGAUGGAUUUCUUAAAGUUCUUGGUGAAUUCUUGAGGAUUGGCCUUGAAUUUAAGAGCUAGGGUUUGUAUUUUAGAGAGAAAGCUCUUGAAUUUGGGGGAAAAUUGAGUGAAUAAUAAAGUAAUAGGUUAAUUAAGAGGGAAUUUCCUGUUAAAGGCUGACUGGGGUGAGGAAAAAAAGACUUUAAUGCCCUCAGAUUGAAACUCAAAAUUAUUGAAAAAUUCUCAAUUUUGUGGGCCAGCGUGAUGCGGCACUAUUGCAUUGUGUCACUGGAAUUGGACAAUUAAGAAAAUGCACGAUGGAACGAUUUGGUGUAAUCGCGUUGCCACCUUGUUUGUGACCUAGAAUCUCACCUUGAUGUAGUGGUAUUGCGUGGGAUCACUAGAAAUUGAUAAUUUUGAACUGAGCCUAUGGCGCGACGCGCCAACAUUGCGAAGGCUCACUGGUUUUUGAAAAUUGUCAUUUAGGUUGGCUCCACGACGCGCUAAGGGUUAAAUUGUGGUGUUUAACGACCGAAACUUAAAAUCGCCAUAACUUCUAACCUGGUCAUCGGAUUUGAGAGAAUUUUAUACUGUUGGAAAGCUAAUUCAAUUUCUUAUGCAAUAGCAAGGUCUAAACUGACAAAUAAUGAGUGUUUCAAAAAUUUUAUAUACAAAUACUCAUGUAUUGGGACUUAGAUUACACUAGGGAAAUAUGGGGUAUUACAAUAUCUCCCCCUUGGAAUCAUUCGUCCUCGAAUGAGACAAAUUAAGCUAAGAGAAAAAAUGAUAGACUGAGCUUACACACUGAACAUACAUAUCUGAUGCAUGGAAUGCAUGACUGAACUAACUCAUGAAUGCACGACUGACAUGUGCAAUUGAAACUGAGCAUGAUAGAGAGAAAUCUUAAGAAGAUUAGCACCUUAUACUGAAUCUGGAUUCGCAGAGAAAAGUUGAGAGUACUUAGUCCAUAUAUCUACCUCUGCUUCCCAAUUGGCUCCAUCAAUGAACUGAUUUUGACAAAUAACUUUGAACAAUGGAAAUUCUUUGUUCCUUAUUCUGCGAACUUGAUGAUCAAGAAUUUUGACUGGAAUUUCCUCAAAGGAAAGACUAUUCUGAAUAUCUACACUUUAUAAGGAAACAACUAUAGAUGGAUUACCAACACACUUUUUAAAUAAUAAGUCAUGGAACACUGGGUUUACUGAGGCUAAAUCUGAAGGCAACUCAAGCUCGUAAGCUAUCUUUCCAAAAUAAUUGAGAAUUCUGAAGGGGCUGACAUAUCGGGGACUGAGUUUCCCUUUCUUGCUGAAUCUCCUUACUUCCUUCAUGGGAGAGAUUUUCAAGUACACAAAAUCACCGACCUCAAACUCGAGAUCCUUUCUCCUCACAUCUGAAUAUGAUUUCUAUCAGCUCUAGGCAGUCCUAAGCCUUUCUCUGAUCAACUGAACCUUCUGUAAUAUAUCAAACACUAAGUCAGGCUCUACUACUAUGGCCUCACCUACUUUAAACCAACCAAUUAGAGAUCUACAUCUCCUACCAUAGAGAGCUGUUAGAUCCAUCUGAAUACUAGAAUGAUAGCUAUUAUUAUAUUCGAAUUCAAUCAAAGGCAAGUGGUCAUCCCAACUACCCUUGAAAUCAACAAUGCAUGCUCUCAGCAUAGCCUCAAGAGUCUGAAUGGUCCUUUCUUCCUGACCAUCUGUCUGAGGGUGGAAAGUUAUACUGAGGUGCACAUGAGUACUAAGACCCUUUUGGAAUGCUUUCCAGAAGUGAGAGGUAAACUGGGUACCUCUAUUUGAGAUGAUAGAUAAGGGAACACCAUGCAACCUAACCAAAUCUUUAAGAUAGAGUUUGGUAUAGUCCUCAGUUGAACAAGAGGUAUGGACUGACAAGAAAUGAGCUGAUUUGGUCAUCUUGUCUAUGAUAACAUAUAUAGAAUCAUGUUGAUGAUGAGUACAAGUCAAACCCAUCAAAAAGUCCAUGUUUACUUCUUCCCAUUUCUAUGUGGGAAUAUUGUACUCCUGCAUGGACCCACUAGGCUUCUGGUGCUCAAUCUUAACUUACUGAUAUAUAGAGCAUUUAUCUAUAAACUCUGCAAUAUCUCUCUUCAUCAUACUCCACCAAUAGAUCUCCUACAAAUCAUGGUACAUCUUAGAGGCCCCUAGAUGAAUAGAGUGGCACACGCCAUGCGUUUCUGCAAGAAUUCAUUGUCUCAACUCAUCUACACCAGGAACACAUAGCCGACCCUGACAAUUGGUGAGCUCUAAGAGUUUGUAACACUAUUCUAAGAUGGUCUGCAUGAUCAAUUUUUGUAACACCCCAAAAUCUCAUCCCAAGACGUCACACGGUGCUUAAAGCUACAAGUAGCUCUAAGCUAACCCAUUGAGCCUGUUACUACUUCAACACUUGCUUUAGGAUAAAUAAGCUAAACAAUGAUACUUUAUUGGAUUAACUCUAAUCCAAAAUAACUGGAAAUAAUGUCUGAAUAGCAAAAAUACUAAUAAUCUGGAAUACAACUUCAAUUGAUAGUUUAGUUUGACAAAGCCUCUACUACUCAAACUGGAGAGCUAUUGGGAUAGACCCCCAACUGACUCACUAUGACCUGAAAGUAAAACUCAAAACACUAUGGAAAUAGGAAAUCUACAAGUAUAGGCCCUCAAACCAUGAGGACUCACCAACUGUAGAAUGUAGAUAAAGGUACUCGGGAAUCACGAUUACUGCUGAGACUGAGCACCUGAACCUACAUUAUGAGACAAUGUAGCACAUAGACGUAUAUGUGGAUCAGCACUUUGGGAAUGUACUGAGUAUAUGGGGGUGUAUGUAUUUACAUAAAACAAUAUCAAUACUCUUUAAUAAAAUCAUGCAUGCAAAUAGGAAUAACUCAACUGGCUUGAAUAAGUCUAAAAUAUAAAACUCAUAAAUAGUGAAACAUGUAACACAAAUCUCGUGAGUCAUUAUACUUAACUUUAAAAAUCUAUACUCUCCUCUUAUUCUCAGUACUUGAAGGCUAAAGAAAGCUUUAAAUAAUACUUUCAAACUCAUGCUUUUAUCUUGUAGAGAGUAAAACUUCUUUAAAACUUAGAGCUUAUAGAACUUUUAGGAACUUUUAACACUUGGGAACUCUGAAACUCUUUUAAACUCGAGAGUUUCUUUUAACCGACAUAAACUAUGUGAGCUAUAUGUAGUCCAACGUCUUGUCCACAUUGGGGAGAUCUAUCCUACCCUUUCCAUCGAAAUAAAACCUUAACUUACGUGAUCACUUAUCUUAACCCACUUGGGGUAAAUCAGAAACCUACGGGGGCACGUAGUUCUGGGGCAUGAGACCUUGGAAUCAUACCCAACUCGGUGCUAAAUACUACUCCCAUACUUAAGCUCAGAACUUUUAGGAAAUCCACCUUAAAAUAAUUCAAGGGUGUAUAAUAAAGACAAAAUAUAUAUUCCUCUUUACUUUAAAUCAUAAUCAAAUAUGGAUUCCUAUCUUAGCUUAGACCCAAGGGGUCAAAUCUUUAACUAAAAUCUGAAAACAGCUUAGUUAUGGGGUACGGACCUUAGCCGAAACUCACACUUGUUGAAUUUGGGGAACAACUAAUGAUCUCUAAGAGUUUGCAAGACAAUUGUAAGAUAAUCUGCAUGGUCAUCCUUAGUAUGGGAGUAAACAAGGAUAUCAUCUAUAAACACUAUGAAAAAUAUAUCAAGAUACUGCUUGAACACUCGAUUCAUGAGAUCCAUGAAAGCCACAGGAGCAUUGGUUAGCCUAAAAGACAUGACUAUAAACUCAAAGUGAUCAUAACGGGUUUGGAAGGCUGUCUUUGGGGUAUCACACUCCCUUACUUUAAGUUGAUGAUAGCCAGAUCUAAGGCCUAUCUUGGAGAAAUAACUUGCAAAUUGCAACUGAUCAAAUAAGUCAUCAAUUCUCAGAAGAGGGUACUUAUUCUUAACUAUGACCUUGUUAAGUUGAUAAUAGUCAAUGCACAUACGCAAAGAACCAUCUUUCUUUCGCAUGAAUAGGAUGGGUGUGCCCCAAGGAGAGACACUAGGACUUAUAAAACCUUUAUCUAAAAGAUCUUUGAGUUGUUCUUUCAACUUCUUAAGAUCUGUAGGUACCAUACGGUAGGGAGGAAUAAAAAUAGGCUGAGUGUCGGAAGAAAGUCAAUCACAAAUUCUAUCUCUCUAUCGGGAGGUACCCCUGGGAGAUAUUUCAAAAAAAUAUCAAGAAACUCAUUAACAAUGUUGGCUGACUGAAUAGUUGGAGUCUCGGACUUAGUUUCUUUAACUCUAACUAGGUGAUAGAUGCAACCUUUGGAUAUUAGCUUUUUGGCUUUGAGAUAGGAGAUAAAAUGACUCUUGGGAAAUACUGAACUCCCGAACCACUCAAAAACUAGUUCAUCAGGAAACUGAAACUUGACCACUUGGGUAAGACAGUCUAUAGAUGCAUAACAAGAAUGAAGCCAAUCCAUACCCAGAAUAAGGUCAAAAUCCAUCAUGUCCAACUCUAUCAAAUCAGCAAGUAUGACUCUAUGAAGAACAAUGAUGGGAUAUAUUUUAUAUACUUGCUUAGAAACAACUGACUCACCUACUGGAGUAAAAACUUAGAAAGGCUCAAGAAUUUUCUCGGGACUUAUUUCAAAAUUCACAGCUACAAGUGGGGUCACAUAAGAGAAACUUGACCCGGGGUCCAACAACACAUAAAUAUCAAAGUGAAAUACAUGGAGCAUACCAGUGACAACAUCAGGAGAAUCCUUCUAUUCCUAGCAAAAUGGUAAGGCGUGGAAUCUGUUCUAGUGCUGACCGCCAGCAGUACUGGAUGAAGCACCCUGAGGAGCAAAUGGAUGGGCUAAAAGAGCUGGGGCACUAGUAUCCUGAGUCUGAGGUUGCACAUCUUUGUUCCCCCACCUAGCAUGUGAGCAGUUUCUAAGUCUGUGGCCAUCUUUCCAUAACCAAAAUAAACCCUCUGUACGUCCAAACACUCACCGGGAUGGAUCCUACCAGACUUAGCACAAGGAGGAUUAUUAGGUCUGUUUCUCACACUGUUCUAAAACCUGGACAUAAAGGGCCUGUUCCCUUACUCCUGCCUAUUUUAGUGGAGGGGGAACUAGCUGAUGAAGGCACUGGCAUAGACGAAUGGCUCUAAAACUAUGAAUGGUUCCCUCCAUGGAACCUGGUUUGACUAUACUCAUGCUACUCGGAUCUAGCCCUCUUGUUUCCCUACUCUAUCUUUCUCCCUUAUCUUGUCUGCCUCUAUCUACUAUGCAUGCAUUAUCAAUCAAGAAAAAUCCAUAUCCCUAUUGAGCAUAGCAGUCCUACAACACCAAACCAGACACACCUCUCACGAACUUGCUCAGAUAAGUUUGGGUGUCAGCAAUCAAAUCAAGAGCAUACUUGGCUAACUAGUUGAACUUCAAGCAGUACUCUUUAAUAGUCAUGGAUCCCUGUCUGAAGUUCAUAAACUCUUCUAUCUUUACUUCCCUUAUCUUUAAUAGGAAGAACUUCUCUAAGAACGUAUCCUGGAAUCCUAACAAGUAAUAAGGGCAGCAUCUUCCCCUCUAUUCUUCCUCUAUGCAACAACUCAAUCAUGAGCAAUGUAUUUCAGAUGAUAAGAUUCCAUCUUUACACUCUCUUUCUCAGAAAUAUGCAUGACUUGAGUGAUCUUCCUCACCUCCUCAAGAUAUAAUUGUGGGUCAUCACAAGCCUUAGACCCAUAGAACUCUGGCGGAUUCAUCCACUUGAAGUCACGGAUCCUAUUACUAGCUAAGUCACCUCACUGCUAAUGCGAAACUACGGCUUAGUUAUUAGCUUGGAUAUUUGCAGUGACUGCUUGGGCUAACGGCAGAAAGGUUGCCCAAAAAUCAGCAUGAGACACAGUCUCAUUCAAGGGAUCAACGACUGAGGUUGCUCGUUAUUGUUUCUGUGGGCAUUCACUCUUCGGGAAGGUAUUUUUUGAAAUAACAAAGCAUGAAUUAAUAGCUGAGAGCAACAACUGUAAGCACGAUAGAUUUUAAAUGAAAGAGAUAACUUUUUCCUAAAAUGUCUAGUAGCCUCUUGCUCAUAAAUGUGGCACACUACACACCUAUUAUCAAGACUCUACUUAACGCGGCUUGUCAGACUCCCUAGGACUCCUUAAACCUUAGGCUCUGAUACCAAGUUUGUAAUGCCCCAAAAUCUUAUCUUGAGAUGUCACACAGUGCUUAAAGCUACAAGUAGCUCUAAGCUAACCCUUUGAACCUGUUACUACUUACAACACUUGCUUUAUGAUAAAUAAGCUAAACAAUGAUACUUUAUUGGGUCAACAAUAAACCAAAAUAACUGGAAAUAAUGUCUGAAUAGCAAAAAUACUAAUAAUCUGGAACACAACUUUAAUUGACAGUUUAGUUUAACAAAGCCUCUACUACUCAAACUGGAGAGCCAUUGGGACAGACCCCCAACUGACUCACUAUGACCUAAAAGUAAAACUCAAACCACUGUGAAAAUGGGAAAGCUGCAAGUAUAGGCCCUCAAACUAUGAGGACUCACCAACUGUAGAAUGUAGACAAAGGUACUCGAUAAUCACGGUCACUACUGAGAUGAGCACUUGAACCUACAUUAUGAGAUAAUAUAGCACACAGACGUAUAUGUGGAUCAGCACUUUGGGAAUGUACUGAGUAUAUGGGGGUGUAUGCAUUUACAUAAAACAAUAUCAAUACUCUUUAAUAAAAUCAUGCAUGCAAAUAGGAAUGACUCACAUGCCUUGACUAAGUCUAAAAUAUAAAACUCAUAAAUCAUAAAUAGUGAAACAUGUAACACAAAUCUCGUGAGUCAUUAUACUUAACUUUAAAAUCUAUACUCUCCUCUUAUUAUCAGUACUUGAAGGCUAAGGAAGCUUUAAAUAAUACUUUCAAACUCAUGAUUUUUUCUUGUCGAGAGUAAAUAUUCUUUAAAACUUCGAGCUUAUAGAACUUUUAGGAACUUUUAACACUUGGGAACUCUGGAACUCUUUUAGACUCAGGAGUUUGUUUUAACCGACAUAAACCAUGUGAGCUAUAUGGAGUCCAACAUCUUGACUACGUUGGGGAUAUUUGUCCUACCCUUGCCAUCGGAAUAGAACCUUAACUUAAGUGAUCACUUAUCUUAACCCACUUGGGGCAAAUCAGAAACCUAUAGGGGGCACAUAGUUUUGGGGCAUGAGACCUUGGAAUCAUACCCAACUCGGUGCUAAAUACUACUCCCAUACUUAAGCUCAGAACUUUUAGGAAAUCCACCUUAAAAUAAUUCAAGGGUCUAUAAUAGAGACCAAAUACAUAUUUCUCUUUACUUUAAAUCAUAAUCAAAUAUGGAUUCCUAUCUUAGCUUAGACCCAAGGGGUCAAAUCUUUAACUAAAAUUUGAAAAUAGCUUAGUUAUGGGAUACUCGUGACCUAAAUAGUCUUGAACAAUAAAUCUUUAAAUGGGGGUCUAUUGACCCAAACAGUAAAUCUCAAGUCAACAUCUCAAAAUUCAUGCUUAAGAUUGUAAUUGCUCAUAAGGUAUCUUGAAAUUUGUAAGUCUCAUCAAUAAGCAUAGAAAUAUAUGAAAAUUCAUGCUAUUUGACUUUUAAUUCAUGGGAAGUAUCAAAACCUUGCAACUAAUGAUAAUAGGUGAAAAAUCCUAACUCAAUUUCACAUAAAAUCUCAUAAAUUGCAGAAAACUUGUAAUUUAAAAUAAGCCUUUGAGCACAAGGGUGAAAGGAUUGCCCUUGUUCAAACCCCACACACCUUAGAUUGUGAAAUUAGAUGAACAAUCUAGCUUGAGACUCUUUUUGGAACUCUUAAGGAAAGGUUCUUGAAGCUUUUGACUUGGGAACUUUGAAUCUUAACUCAAUUUGAAAAAAUUAUGGUGAGUUCUUGAAUUUCUUAGUGAAGGAAUUUGAGUUUGUUCUUGAGGAAUAAACCUUAGCUUUGAGAUGCUUUUGGAUGAACUGAAGUCAUCUGGUUUGUUUGGGUAUAUUAAGUUGUAAAAAGGGUGGAAAAGACCAAAAAGCCCCUUCUAAAAAUGACUUAAAAAUCACUGAAUGAAAUAUGCGACGGUAGGUGUGAUGGUCCAUCGCUGGGUCGACAGACCGUCGGUCCUAACCAUCGUACCUAGGCCAGAUUUUGACUUCUACCUUGCCUACGAUGGCUAGGUCGACGAUCCGUCACUAGAUCGACGGUCCAUCGCGCCUAACCAGAAUAAGGUCUAACUGUCUCCUCUGCGACGGUUUGGGUGACAGUCCGUUGCUAGCUCAAUGGUUCGUCGGACUUCUCCAUCGCACCUGUGCAAUUCAGACUACUUUCUAUAAUUUGGCUAUAUCUUUCUCUUCUGAUGUCAGAUUUUGAUGAAAUGGGUAUCGUUGAAAAGAUAAUUCAAUUUCCUACAUGAUAAAAAGUUAUUUUUAGGAAAACUCUAUAUGAUUUAAAUUCUAAUCACUUUUGAAGUCAUUCUUAAAUCUUUUAGAGACGGAAUAAGGCUUCACUUGACAUGUUCUAAAGGCUCAGACUAUGAGGGAACUUUAUAGGGUCUUACAGUUUUGCUAUGGGAGUAAACACGAAUGUCAUCAAUGAAGACUAUAAUAAACAUGUCCAAGUACUGCUUGAACACUAGGUUCAUGAAGUCCGUGAAGGCUUCUGGGGCAUUCAUGAAACCAAAGAACGUGACUAGAAAUUUGAAAUUACCAUACCGAGUUUGGAAAGCUAUUUUCAAAAUGUCACAUUCCCUGACUCUAAGCUGAUGAUAUCCUGAUCUAAGGUCUAUCUUUUAAAAAUAGCUAGCACUCUAAAGUUGAUCAAAUAAGUCAUCGAUUCUAGGAAGUGGAUAUUUAUUCUUGACUGUGAAUUUUUUCAACUGAUGGUAGUUAAUGCAUUUUCUGAAAGAACUGUCUUUCUUACGCAUGAAUAGAAUAAGUGUGCCCCACGGGGAGAUGCUGGGUCUAAUGAAUGCCUUAUCUAAAAUAUCCUUUAAAUGUUCUUUUAUCUCCUUGAGUUUAGCUGGAGCCAUUAUGUAUGGCAGGAUAGAUAUGGGUUAAGUAUCUGGUAGAAGGUCUAUUUCGAAGUUGAUUUCCCUUUCGAGAGAAACUCCGAGAAGAUCUUCAGGAAAUACAUCUAAGAAUACAUUUACUACUGGAACUAAUUUAAGAGUUACAGCCUCUGAUUUAGAGUCUUUGACUCACACAAGAUGGUAAAUACACCCAUUUGACAUCAUCUUUCUCGCUCUAAGAUACGAAAUCAACUGACCCCUAAGAGCUAUGGUACUACCCCUCCAUUCAAGGACUGGUUCAUUUGGGAACUAAAAAUGAACUAUUCUAUUUCUAUAAUCAACUGAGGCAUAGAUGAGUGGAGCCAAUCCAUGUUGAGAAUGGCGUCAAAAUUUGUUAUCUCUAACUCCACGAGAUUAACUGAAGUAACUUUCUAGGAUAUUGUGAUCAAAAAGUUCCUGUAUAACUGUCUGGCUAUAAUGGAAACACCUACUGGGGUAGACACUGAAAAGAGAUCUUCUAGAGUUUCAGGACUGACUUCAAAAUUGAUGGCUAAAUAUGGAGUUACAAAAGAAAGAGAAGCAACAGGGUCUAGUAAGGCAUAAACAUAUAAGUAAAAGACCUACAACGUUCCAAUAACUAGGUCAGGAGAAUUUUCUUGAUUUUGGCAGGGCUGAAGAGAAUAUAAUUUGUUUGAACACUGACCAUUGGUAGCACUGAAAGUGGCACCCUUCUGAGUUGGGCGACCGGAUAGAACUAACGACUGAUGGGACUGGCUCUGUUGGCACAUAUCCCUACCUUUCUGAGAAACUACCUGACACUCCCAAAUUUGAUGACCUGAAUUGCCACACCCAAAGCAUAUAUCAAUACCCAUUCUACACUCACCCUGAUGGUGUUUGCCAUAUUUUUGGCAUAGAGGAUUUGUACGAGCACUGCUAACACUGACCUAGGACUUAGAGCUUGGUGCUCUAUCCCUAUUGUCAUUUCUGAAUUUGGGUACGGGAGCACUGGCUGAAGAGGAUGCUGGGGCUGAAGACAUCUGAUAAAAUUAAGGACGUUUACCAUCCUCUGACUUUGGCUGACUGAAGUUAAAACUACCCAUCCUAGCCCUCUUGUUUUCUCUCUCUACUUAAUCUUUUGCUCUUCUAUCUAUUGAGCAUGGACCAUCAGCCUAGACAAGUGUAUUUCACUAAUUAUUAUUGCGAUCCCACACUCCUUGACCACACUAUCAGAUACGUCAGACACAAACUUACUCAUAUUAGACCUGUUAUCAACUACCACAUGAGGAGCACAUCUAUCUAACUGAGUAACCUUGAGGGAAUACUCCUUCACGCUCAUGCUGCCCUACCUCAAGUUAAUAAAUUAUAACACCUUGGCCUCUCUCAAAUCCAAUAGAAAGAAUCUAUCUAAGAAAUUUAUAGCAAACUCUUCCCAUUCUACAGGCCCUACAUCAACACCUCUAUCAACUUUUUACUGCUUAAACCAAGUAUGGGAUACAUCCUGCAACUGGUAUGCAGCCUACUCAGCACUCUGACUAGAUGUCACCCUUAUAGAAUCUGUGACCUUCUGAACCAUAUCUAAGAAUUCCUGUGGAUCUUCUACAGACUUAGAUCCCGUGAAAGAAGGAGGAUUCCUCCGGGUGAAAUCCUAAAUUUUGGUUGCAGCAGUAUUGGCAACUAGGUUACUAAAACAGCAGUUGGUCGUUCAUUCUAUACUGCUAUGGAGUUCUCCAGAGUAGUGAACGUAGCUCUGAAUUAUGCGUGAGAGACAUGCUCGUCCAGAGGAUCUUCUUGGAUAGGCUGAGAGGCUAGCUGAUUUCCUGUUCUUCUUAUAUUUUUCUUAGAAGGCAUGUUCUAUAAAUGGAAGAAAGAAUUUGAUUAGACAGGGAUUUUAACUUGAUCUCAUGCUCACUCACACGAUAUGAAUACUGAAAGAAGGGAAACUUUUCCUAAAUGCCUUAUAGCCUCUCGUCUAUAAGUGUGGCGCACUACAAACCCAUGCACAAGACUCUACUUGACGUGGCUUUUAGACUUUCUAGGACACUUUAAAACCUUAGGCUAUAAUACCAAGUUUGUAACGCCCCGAGAGCACACCCCGGAAUCACACAGUGCUUGUAGUCCCAAGGGACCACAAGCUAACCCAUGAGCUGGUACCUACUGUGAGCACUGGAUAACAUGAUUAUAAAUAUGGAAGAAAACUUACACACCAUAAGGUUUUAAUAACUAAAUUCAAAACUGAACUAUAAGUCUAUAGAAAUAACUAACUGAAUCUGAUAAAAUACUGAUAAACUGGAUAACUAACUGUAAGGUCUGAAUACUGAAUAACUGACUCUAAUAUCUGAUAAGCUUCUAAAACUAAAUAAUUGUGAGUUGAUGGGACAGGUCCCAUCUAACUCCAACUAACUACUAAACUAAUACAUGAAAUAAAGUAAGCCUAUCCUUGAAGUAUGGGGACUCACCACUUCUACUGCUGAGGAUCUAAUAAGUCUAAUCGUAAGCCGCGAACUGAGCAUCAGAAUCUAUGAUAUAAUACAUCAUAGCGCAAAAGAAAAAGUAUAUGAUCAGUACUUUGAAUGUACUGAUAUGCUAAAUUAGGUAGGCUGGUAUGUAUGGUUUCAUGAACAAAACUAAUAAUUAACUGAAUAUGCAUGUAAAGCAUGGAGUACUGAAUAGAAAGCAUGAAAAUUUUAGAUACUGGGAAUAUAUGGAAAUCUGUAAAUACUGAGUAUACAUGAAAAUCUAUAAAUACUGAAGAUAUAUGAAAAUCUGUAGAUGCUGAGGAUGCAUGACCAAGCAUAUAACAUAAACUGAGUAAAAUCUGUAAACCAAAAUACUGAAAUAACUAAAAUCUAUAUGCUUUGGUCAAACAACACUAAGAUUGAAUAACUGAACUGGGACUGUAACUGAGACUGCAUUUGAGACUGUGGGAGGUAUCAUCUAACCGACAUUCCCCAAUUUGAGCUAAUAGGGGUCCAACCUGUAACCUCAAUUGGAUGAGUUUUACUACCAUGCCACAGGUACUAACAUUGGCUGUGUGGAUCCACUAAAUUAAUAUAAUAUCUAAAGGACUAAGGGUGUCAAUCCUGAACUGAUAGGUGACCCCUGCGAGAUAGUCAACCCUAAUCUGAUGGGUGACUUUUCAUAUCCUAUGUUGGCUACGUAGUUCUGGAAUAUAGGGACUGCUACUAAUGAAUCUGCCUAUCUGGUGGGGAAGCUUCCAUCCCUACACUCGCUCGGUGCUAAAUCCUACUCCCAACUGAAAAACACUAAAAUACUAGACUAUUCUAAUUUUAACUAACUGCUAUUUGACUGUCCUGAUAAUGAUCAUAGUAUGUUCUGAAGACUAUUCUUUAAUGUACUGAUAAUAGACUAAAUAAACAGUUAUGGUUUUCGGGUAUUCAAUACCCCUAGGACUCAAAAACACUAAUAGUAAGAGGACACAAAAACUUGAAAGACAUAACAUGAAGGUUUUUAUUAAAUCAAUCACUCUUCCGGGCAUUUUAUCAAAUGCUUGUACUUCAUAGUUUAGUCAAUUCAUGGGAAUAGUAUAAAACUUGAACUAAUAGCAUGAUUUCAACCUUUAUAACACUAAAUCAUGAUCUAACUUGAAGAAUGACAAUAAUAAAACAUGUGGGAAUUGACAACAAUGAUAAUUUCAUUAAAGUAUGGUAUAAAAUCAAUAUUCAUGGAAGUUCAUGGAGAUUCACAGUUUAAAAUCACAAUUUCAUAUCAUAAAUCUUAAAAAUAUGAUAGAUUUGUAAUAAAAAUGGAUACUUGGACUCCAUGGAUGAAAGGAAUCCAUGGAUGAACAUCUAACAUACCUUAAUUGAUGGAUUUCUUGAAGUUCUUGGUGAAUUCUUGAGGAUUGACCUUGAAUUUGAGAGCUAGGAUUUGUAUUUUUGAGAGAAAGCUCUUGAAUUUAGAGAAAAAUUAAGAGAAUGAUGAAGUAAUAGGUUAAUUAGAGGGGGGGGAUUUCAUGUUAAAGGCUGACUGGGGUGAGGGGAAAAAGACUUUAAUGCCCUCAAAUUAGAACUCAAAAUUACUGAAAAAUUCCCAAUUUUGUAGGCUGGUACGAUGCGGCGCUAUUAUAUUGUAAUACUAGAAUUGGAUAAUUGGGAAAAUACAUGGUGAUGCAAUGCGGUGCAAUUACGUUGCCACCUUGUUUGCGACCUGGAAUCUCACCGCGACGCGGUGGUAUCAUAUGGGAUCACUGGAAAUUGACAAUUCUAAACUGAGCCUAUGGCGCAAUGCGCCAACAUCACAAAGGCUCACUGGUUUUUGACAAUUGUCAUUUAGGCCAGCUCUACGACGUGCUAAGGGUUAAAAUGACGGUGUUUAACGACUGAAACUUAAAAUUGCCAUAACUUCUUACCCAGUUAUUGAAUUUAGGCAAAUUUUAUAUCGUUGGAAAGCUAAUUUCCUAAGUAAUGGCAGACUCUAAAUUGACAAAAAUGAGUGUUUCAAAAAUUUUAUAUAUGAAUACCAUGUAUUGGGAAUUAGAUUAUGCUAAAGAAAUACGGGGUAUUACAAUAAUAUAAUGAGACAUCCAGAACAAAGUCAAGACAACACUCAUAUAUAUUUAGAGAGAGGCUAAAAUAAAACAUAUAUAAAAGCCCCAAAAUAUGAUGUCAUAAGUCCAAGUGCAUCUAAUACAUAAUUGAAUAUCUGAAUACACAACUUUGUCUCUAAAAAUGAGUAAAGACAAUAUAAGUACAAUGGAGGCUUAAAAUUAGCUCUAAACUCUAUAGCAUGCUAGUACCUCGAAUGUCAACUUUGAGUAGCUUGAAUUAGCUGCCAUAUCCCGUACUCAAGCUUGGAUUUGCACCUAAAGGGCAGAGUAGGGAUGAGUACGGUCCACUUGUACUCUGUAGGUAUCAUAUAAAAAUAAUGCAAAGUAGAAAAUAAUAAAAUUAAAAGAUACUAUGAGCAUGUCAUAUGCAAACAGAAAACUUCUAAAAUGAUAGCUCACAUCUCCACUAAUAGUUCUAUAAUAUAAUAUUGAUAUAGGAAUAUCUAAGUAUGAAAACAUAUAUGGAAAGUAAGAACAUAUCAAGAAUACAUAAAGAAACACAGAAAAUACAUAUGCAAUUCAAUGAAAUGAUGAUGUGAUCAUGAUGAGUAAUUGAAAGUCAUCGUAUGACUUUUUCUAUACACCUAUCGAGCCUAUAUGCUCCCAAGAUAGGGCCCAUGGAGAGUUUGCAGCUUACAUCUACCUCAAAUCUUAACUUACCUCUUGACUAGUGUUCACGGAUCAAGGAUUUUAUAAAGUGUCACAUUCACCUCUCCGACUAUUAUUCACAAAUCAAGGGUUUUAUAAAAAUGUCCUAUUUCUUUUGAAUUAGUGUUUCUCAAUGGUACCAUGUAUUAUAAUAUGUAUAUAUGAAAUGAGGAUGAAAUUCUCAUAGCCAAUCAGUAUAAAAAUAGAAAUCUAUUCAAUACCUAUAUAAAUAAGCUCAGAAUUUACUCAAUGUAUCAAUAAUUCAUUAUAUCAGUUCUUUCUAGGCACCACCAGAAUAUAUAGGCAAUUAAGAUAUCAAUAAUAUUAUUUUAACACUUAAAAAGGUAUUUUCAUCAUGAUGGAGCUAAACAAUGCUCAAAAAGGCCUAUAACAUCUAUUCAGGCUCCUGCACAGACAUCACAUUAAUAAUAAUGGUAAUACACAAAUAAGGCAUAUAAUAACAAAUAAAGCCCUCACACAAGCAGUACACAAUAUAUGAUAUCUCAAGUCAAUAACAAUAAGCAUAUAUGCACCCACGCAGGCACACAAUAGUAACAAUAAUAUUGAAAUAAUGCUCACAUGGCUAAUCUCCCAAAUUUAUAGCAUGUUUUACUCGUUUAUUAACUAUCCAGCCUAGCUUAAAGAAAAUUAAGCCAUAACCUACCUCAUAGUAAUGAAAAUACGAGCCUAAAAUAUUCAACAUAGAGUCUUCCCCUUUCAAUCAGUCUUGAAAUGAGGUAAAACAUUCAAAUAUAGAAAUUAUGCACUAAAAAAAACUCAUGAUACCCAUAAUGAUUAUAUUUAAAACGGUUCCAAAAUGGAUUCAAAAAUAAAAGGGCUAAAACUGAAAUUUUAUUUUAAAAAUAUUUUUCCCGAACUAUAGGAGUCUGUAGUUGAAAACUUAAGUAGAAACAAGUUAUAAAAAGAGCUCAAAUUGAAGAAAAACUAUUUUAAAGAUUAACAAUAAAACCCCCCAAAUUCUAGUUCAAAAUUAGGAUUAAAGAGUAUUUUUGAUGAUAUAAUUGAUGAAAAUUAAUGGAAACAAGAUUUUUGAGCUAACCUAAGCACAAAUGGUGAAGAAAAUCCUCAACAUUGCCCUAACCCAAAGUUUCAAGGUAGAAAUUGCAAAAAUAGAGUAUUUUAUACUAUUCUAUAAAGUACCUUGAAAUUGUGGACUCCACCUUCUGAGUACGAGGUUCAAUUAUAACCAACAAUUAAGUUGGUCAUCGCAAUCGUAUAAUUGAGCCUCGCAGUUAUGAUGAAUCAAUCUAACUUGAACUAUUGAUUAAUCCAUCACAAUUGCGAUAUCACCACCACGUGAUCACGAUAAAGGCUAUCAUCGAAGCCUGUUAUUGCAACAAGUGUCUAUGAGAUUGUGAUGAAGGUCCUAAUGUACCAGGAAAUAUUGCACCAACAUUUGGGAUCUUUGGAGAAAUACUUUGAUUGAACGCUCGAAAUUUAUUCGGGACCUCAUAGAAGUUAACCGUAUAUGCUACUAGUCUACUUUUGAAGUCCCAAAAUCAAUGACAAUAUUGAAUUCUCAAAAAUAAAUCAUUUACAAUGAACUAUCUCUCGCGAUACUAUUUAGGCAUUUUCACUAGUUUUUGAAUGAAGGGUCGAAAUGCAAAAUAAAGGAUCUGAGCCCAAAUCAACCCUGUUACUAAUCCAAAAUUAAUAUCCCAGAUCUAAUGGAACUGAAAAUAUCAUCAUCUGAUGCUGGAAUUAAUAAGUAGUUAUCAAAGUUAAACUAAUGGCUUUUAAAGCCUCUUUGGGUCUCAAACUCUCCUAAAUCAUUUUUGAAUGCAUCAGGGAUCGUCCCUACUAUACCAUACCUUAAAAUCAGCAUGUAACAACUCCGAAGAAAAAAAUAAUCAAAAUGCAUAAAAAGAAAAAUUAUUCAUAACAGGUUGUUACAAAAUAUCUGAACUUCAAUCAAAACUCCCAAUAACAAACAUAAAGUUAGACUUUAAUUUGUCAAAAUUAACAUUAGGUACCGCUUGUCUAAAGUGCAGCUGAUUGAGAUGAGAUAGUGUUGCAAGAAUUUAUAAACUUAAGAAUAACUUUAAUAUAGUAAUUCCAAAAAUCGGGUAUAUAUACACUUUCUAAUCAGGUAUCUAUGCACUCUCUCCUAUUUUCAUUAUAACUAUCUUGUAAAAUUAUUUUCAAGUUUUGGUAGAAUAAUAAAAAUUAUUUGUGUUCAAUUUUCACAAAUUUUGAUGGACUUGAUGAAACUAUCUUCAUUAUACUUAUCUAUUAAAAUGUUCACAUGAUAAAAUUCUCGAGAAAUUUUCAAAAAAAAAAUAGUAAAACUUAUUAAUUUCUUAUUUUACUAGGUUUCGUUGUAUGUAUUUCUCUACCCAAAAAUAGUUAUAACAUUGAUUUUUUUUCUUUCAAAUUUUACCUUUGUUAUUACUGUUUCAAUUUAAAAAUAAUUUACAGAUUAAUAGUGCAACAUACAUAAAUCAUAAUUUUUACUAUUUUUUUAUGAAACGAGUACAUUACAAAAACAUAAUAAUAAAAUUACAUAGUUGCUACAUAGUUAACCAUACAUUGGUUAAAGUUACAAGUUUCACUUGCUCUACAAAACAUAGUUCCAGAGAUGUUUGCCCAUAAUGCAUCCUUGACAAACAUUGGCAGAACUAUCAAAAUAUUAGUUUUUUCAAAAAAUAUCUCCUUAGAACCUUCCUAAGCUAGCAUAUUUGUUAUUCGAUUUUGUUCUCUAUAAACUAUUCUUUAUGACUGGAUUGCCCAGCUUCCUCAUCAAUAACCUGCAUUUAAAUAAUGAAAUUAUAACACAAAGGACCAUUAUUAAUCAUGUGAAUUACCUCAGUCGAGUCUAGGGACACCUCCAAAGGAAUGAGUUCUUAGUCUAGAGCUAGGGUCAGGCCCUGCUUGAAAGCAAGUAGCUUAGCCAUGUUGUUGUUAGUGUGGGAGAUGCUAUGUAUAAAAUCCCACCACCCGAUCUCUAUUAUUAUUUUUUAUGAAACCUCCAGUGCCUCUCUUCCCUGGGUUCCAAGAGCAAAACCAUCAGUGUUAAAUAUAUAGUGACACUUAAUGGGGGUAUGCACUUAACUUGGAUGGUUUGAGAGGAGAUGGUAGUAGCAUUAGCAUAGGCAAUGAAUGUAAACUCCAUAGCCAUGGCAGUGGUAUUAAUAUAUAAGAUAUUCUCAUUUUUAUUGUUUAAAAGGAAAUUUUUUCUAGUUAGCCAGAUACUUCGGGGGCAAAAAUACAUGAUGUUUUCCCAACAAAGAUGAUUGUUGAAAAAUUCUCCAUUGUUUAUUUUGUAGAUUUGGGUCAUGUGACCAUUGAGAGGAUAGAUUGGUGCAUUUUUGACAAUGUUAUGCUAAAAAAGUCUAGCAUUUGGGCACUCAAAGAAUAUGUCGUAAAAAGUUUCAUCUCCUAAGCAACAAAAGUUACAAGAAAUGGAGAUGUUAAGAUCAAUGUGGUAGAGGUAAGAGAAGGUAGGGAUCCUGUUUGGUGCAAGAGCCAGAUGAAAAAUAUGAUCUUAUUAGGAAUUUUUAGAUUUCAGAUCUAGCUAAAAGAUAUCCUAUCGGGAUUGAUAAGAUCACCACAUUUGUAGGCAGAGCUUAAAGAGAACUUACCAUUUUUGGUACCACUCUAAAUGAGUUUCUUUCUAUCACUAUGAUUAAGGAUAAAUACAGUUGUAAGUAGGUUCUUUGUUUCUUCAAAGGUUGCUGACCUUGAACCCCUCUUCUCGAAUGGUUAAAAGGUCAAUGAAGUGAUCUCUAAUACUGUUAUGUGGUCGGGGGUCCAUCUAUCUUGAAAAUUUAACUCUGUUCUCACCAUUCAUAGUCCAUUUAGCCCCCUUGCCAUAGAUUUUCAACCCCUCCUAAUAAAUUUCCAAACCCUUAUGCAUCUUUUAAUCUCAUUAUCAGCUCUAUCAUAAUGUAUAUGGAAAAGCACUUUAGCCUAGAGGGAUUCAAGACAAUGGUACAUUCUCCAAGAAAGAAUAAAGUGACUAGAAAGGUUCUAGUGCCAGCUUUUUGCAUAUUAAGCCCCCAUGUUCUUAGUCUUAGUAAUAGUCUUCUAGCCAAUGAGGUAAAGUUUUUUUCUAGAAGAUGAGGUGCCCUAAAUGAAGUCUCUUUAGAUACUAGCAAUGAGCUCAUUGAUAUGUAUAGGUAUUGUGAUGAAUUGCAUAAUGUAGCUAGGUAUAUUGGUGAGCUAUACUUUAGCUAAAGUAGUUCUACCUAUCAUGUUUAAACAUUUGGUAUUCCAUCCGCAAUCUUGAAGUGUGUUCUACCUUGGACAAAUUUAAAUUCAUUGUUUCUAUAUUUAUUAUAAAAUAUUGGACAGCCUAAGUAUGUUCUAAAAGUGGAGUUUGUUCUAAUAGAGAAGUUGGAAGAGAAGGAGGACCUAAGAUUUUCCUUGCAAUUGACAGAGAAAAGGACUUUGGAUUUGAAGAAAGAAAAUUAAUCUUUUAGCUAGACAAGCUUAUGAAAUUUUUGAGAUUAUUUGUAAUAGUAGCAAAAUUCUUAGCUUUAGCUCUUGUAAACAAUGAAAGAUCAUCAGCAAAAAACAAAUUAGAGACUUUAGGUUCGGCUCUAUUGAUUUUGAUAGGGUACUAAUUAUUACUCUCCACUUAAUGAUUAAUAUCCUUAUAUAACAUUUUCAUACAAAGAAUGAAAAGGUAAGGAAACAUAUGGUCUGCUUUUCUAAUACUUUAAGAGAGGAGGAAAGUGGAAGUUUUUCCUUCAUUGACAAACUUAGAGGUGGAGGGAAAAGGGACACAAGAAAGGAUGACCUUCACCAACUUGGAAGGAAAAUUAAAACUAAGGAGGGUGGAAAAUUAAAACUAAGGAGGAUAGACAUAAUAUAGGACCAUUCCAAUCUAUCAAAAUUCCUUUCUAGGUUAAUUUUUAGGUUCAUGCUACCAGCUUUCUUUUCAUAUUUUUAAAGUGAGAGAGAUACUCCUAAACAAUAAUAACAUUAUCAUAAGAUCUUCUACCAGAUAGGAAAAUAGAUUGGUAGUUACCUAUAAUAUAAGGGAGAAUUGGUUUGACUUUAUGUACAAUAAUGUUGGUGAUUAGUUUGUACUAGUGUGGUAAAGAUUUAUGAAUUUGAAUUUUUUGAGAGUGUUGGCAUUUGGGAAUUUAGGGAUGAGUCAAAUGAGAGUACAAUUUAUGUUAGGUCCAUCUAAAUUUUUGCAAAGGUUCUCAUGCAAAAGGUUGUGACCCUAUAUUUAGGGAUCUCCUAAUACUUCAAAAAGAAAAAAGAUAUGGAGGUCAUCUAGGCCCGGGGCCUUAAGACGCUUGAAAAAACACAUAGCAUUUUUAUUUCCCUAGAGGGUUCAACAAGGAACAGAAUUUGUGAUUAGACAGUGUAGGGCUCUCAACCAGGGGAUUUAUAAUUUCUAAUGGAGAAAGAAAUCUCAAUACAGUAGAGGCUGGAAGAAAAGGAAAUGACAAUUUUUAGUAGUCUGAUGGUCAUUAACCUUAUUGCCCACCUCAAUAGAGAGAGAAAAUUAUAUUUAUUCUUCUACUAACUAUUGCAGGAGUGUGAAGAAAAUAUUAUAUUGGCAUCUCCCUCAGUUAGCCAAGAGAUUAUAGCCUUCAUUUUCUAGAAAUCCUCUUCAUUCUUAGGAUAAAAGAGUACUCCUCCUAGAGUUCAGCUUCUAGGCUUUGAAGGAAAAAAUUAUUGGGAUGGUUAUCAAAUUUCUGUAUUCCUCCCUACCAAUCCAAAACCCUUUUCUUUCUUUAGAAAAAUGUUGCUAAAUAUCUUUUAUUCCACUAUUUUACUUCUCUUUAAAAGUGAGCAGUGAAUUCAAGGAUACUUCAAUCAGUACCAAAUAAUGCCUAGCAACAUUAGAAAAGGUGGGGUGACUAUACCACUUGGUUCAAACAUGCAGAUUUUACCAUGGGUGUUUCUAUAUUGAUGAUCAAGUUGAAUAAGCAUAAAAAAAUGGUUAAAGUAAGUCUUAACUAAAUAGGUGACUCGAGCCUCUGGAUAGUUAAGCAUCCAACCUUAAUUAGCAAGAUAUUUAUCUAUCCUUACCAAAAUUAGGUUUGGAGAACCUAUUGUUACACCAGGUGUACUUUCUCCCGUGGACGUCAAGAUCUAUGACUUACAACUGUUAAUGCAAUCCCAAAUAAGAUAGUUCUAGGAUUGAUUAUACAGUUUCCUCAACUUUUAUCUUUGGUUUUUAGGACUAUAGUCCUAUUUAACAAACCAAGGGCAAAACAUGGUGGGGGCUCUUGACUUAAAAUUACUCCAAAAUCCCUACGAGUGGCAUGGUGACUACUAGAAUAAACAAUAAUAAAUAACCAAGGAGUUGAAUUAGAGCCAACCUUGACAAGGAAAUUGAACGCUUGGGUAGAUAUAGAAACCUCAUCAAUAUUCAGGGUGUCUUUAUUCCACAUAACAAUAAUACAUCUAGGGAAGGCCAUAAUAGGAAACUGAAUCUAGUUGUAUACCUCAGAUCUUAGCACAGGUGUUUGUGCUUAGUCAUGUGAGUUUCCAGGAUUACAAGCAUCAAAAGCUUAUGUAUUUUUAUCAUAUCUUCACAUUAUCUCCUGAAUUCGAUAUUGUUUUCCCCUCUACAGUUUCAUAUGAUGAAAUUUAUUAAGAUCUUGUUAGUGUGACUACAAAUUUCAUAUGAUGAACUUUCCCAUUCAAGUUAGGAUUCUUCUUCUCUUCGAUCCCCUUGUAAGGGGUUAGUGUGACUACAAAUUUGGUUUGGAUCUCUAAAUUCUUGCUCUUGAUAGUCAUUGGACAUCUACAUAGGCAUUGUUGUAGUAGUGCUCCUAGGAAAUCCAUCCAAGACUUCUUUAACUUCAUCUCUUAUUUCUCUAACAUUAGCAUUAUGGUUUGUUAAUAGGAUAUCCUCCAAAUCCUUAUUGGAUUUUCUCAAUAUCUCUAGCAUCUACCCCUCGGCUUUCUAUCAUGCCUGAAAUAUUGGUUUGAGGAGUUCCUAUCUGUACCAGGGUUUCUUCUAUUGAGGUUCACCACUUUUGACAAAGUUAUGAAUAAGGUUGGAUCACGGAAUUUGAAUGGAUAAUGACAGCAAAGAAUGGUAAAGUUUGGCCAUCUUGGACUAUGAUAUUGUUGAGCUCUACCAUUGAUAAAGUUUCUUGGUUUUGUAUUAUUUGUGCUUACAUCAGUGUGGUACCCUAGGGAUGACUUCCAAAGUUUCCCCAGUCUUAAUUAAAGCUCUCUGUCAUGAUCUUGGAUAGGAAAUCAAGGUAUUGGAUUAUCACUAUUAGAUGUAUGUCCUUUAUUAUCAUUUUGAGAGUCGAUGACCUUUUGAGAUUUAGAUUCAUCUAAGAGUUGGGUGUGCAAUUUGGUGAUGGUAGAGCAGUGAUCAUGACUAUUUUCUGUUCUGGGAGGUCCAUUGGAGAGCUUAAAGGUACAAGAUUGCUUAUUUUUUGAAAAGUGGGUGAUAUUUUGGGGAUAAGACGGUGAUAUAUGGAGAACUUCGGAGAAUUUAAUGUCCUUCAACUGAUCAGUGCUAGAAAGUUCGGUAAAAAUAUGAUUAAUGGAGGACUUACUUGAUAUCUCAGAAAGUGUCAAAUCAUUUAGGGGAAAACGAUUACCAUUAGACUUCUUGCUCUGUAAUGGAGGCAGAGAGUUUAUGUAGAGAAAUACAGAGGGAGGAUAUUGCCCGCAUUGAAUUGGAAAGGAUAGGUGGAAUUGGUAGGUGUUACAUUGCACGAGUUGACAUGAGAGAGGUAUUAUUUAUUUUGCUUCUAAUAGUUUAUCUCUUUUUUUAAUCUUUUUCAGACUUGACAAAGCCAUUUUUCUAGCUUUUUAUUUCAAUAGUGGGGACUUUCUUAACGUUGUUAAUUUUGUCAACGCUAGUCCCAUUAGGACCACUGAUAGUAGUACUAUUUAAUUUUUUUCUUUUUUUAUAAUUUCACCUAGGGACCCACUUAUAUUCACUUCAUUUUCUUCGAUCUUCAUAUCAUUGCUAGAGAGGAGAUCAUUCUAUUCGGAAUCAAGGAAGGUGAAAACAUUUGAAUUAUUAAAAGUGGGACGAGAGGGUGCAGAGACCUUACCUGUAACUGCAUUGGGUACUUUUACCUUAAUCGGUACUUGUUUAGAUUUUUUGGUUUUCUCUUUCUUCUGAUGAUUGGAUUCCUUCUAUUUUUAGAAAAAAUAAUUAUUUUUCAUUCAUCGACAAUGAUAGGAGUCGUAUUCCUUCUUCCCUCUCCAUCUGAAUUAGUUGGUGGGUUGAAUUUUAGUUAGAAAUUAAGAAUGGUAUGCCUAAUUACCCCAUAAUUUUUGCACAAAAGUCCUUUUCCUCUCAUAAACCAUUGAUUUUUACACAAGAGCCCCCCUCCCCUCAUAAACCAUCGAUUAUUUUUUAUGGCCAAUUAUCACCGAUAUUUUGAUUGGCACUUUCAACGAAGCAAAUUCUUGCAUAUCUUUCUUGGAGAGUCGAUGACGUACAACUAUAAAUCAUUAGGAUCUUUCUGACUUUUCUUCCUAUUUUUUCUAGAAUCAAAGUAUCGUAGAACUCAGUGAGAAGUUUUGAUAAUCUCAAUCAAAUGGCAGUGGAUAAAAUCUUUAUUUCGAUAGAGAUAAAAUUUGAUUCACAUUAUCUCACUAAUAAGAAAUGCUCAGAUACAAAUCAAUACUCUUGGUAAAGCUCUUUAUCCAUGUUUUCUUUUAAGAAAAACUUAAUAGUGUAGGGUGCCAUAACUUUAUUAGUUUGAAUUUGAGAAUUUAGAGUGAUCUUUUUUUUUCAAAUAUAUUGACAAUCAGUGAAUGCGUCCAAAGGCCAUAGAUUCUUUGUGCUUUUUUAAAAGGGUAAAUGAGAUCCUCAUUUAUGAGUGGGCCCUUUCCAAUAUCUUUGUUUAUGAUUUGGCUUUCUUGAAGUAAAGACUUUUUCAUGUUGGGGUUCUUUCCAUGAUUAUUUUCUUGCAGGAGAUUUUUAACUGAUUCUCUAUUUUCAUGAGGGCCUUUUCUUUAUUAGCGGCUCUGACAAUUGGUUGUAUAGAGUUUUAGGGAUUUCCUAUUUCACGAGGGGUCAUUGGGUGUGUGUGGUGAAUUUUAGGGAAUGAUUAGAACUUCUCUUUCUACGAAUAGUGUACUUCAAUUUGUAUAGUCUCUUCUAUAAUUCUUACUAUUUUUGUUGGUGAUUAGGGUUAAAAAGAAUGAUCUUUAAUGUACACAAAAUAAAAUAUGUUAAAUUCAAUAGAUUUUGAGGUAUUAUGCCAACAUAAUAAUUAAUUAUUUAUGUGUAAAAAAUUACAUACUAGAAGAUAGUUAGGAAUUGGAUAGUCUUCACCCUCUUCUAAAUGUUGACAUGAUAAAAAGUGUGAAUAGCCUCUCUUUUAAACAUGUGAGAAUGAAGAAAAAUUGAAAAAUCGAUUUUCAAAUUGAAUGAGACACUUAUUUAAUGGUUAAUUGCCACAUAAUCUAUAUAUUAUGAAAAGUAGAGGACAAAAUCUCUACAUUAAACCAAGUGGAAGCCUUUGAAAUUGACACAUAUAUUUUUUUAAGGACAAGUUAGUUAAUUAGUUAACAAUUAGUUAGUAUUUAUUUUUUAUCUUUUAUAACUUUUUUUAAAAUUCAAAUUUGUAGUUACUUAAAGUUUUUACUGUAUUUUAGUUGUUAAUUAAGUUCUACAGAAUAAUUAAAAGACCAAAAAAAGAGGAAGUUUGAAAUUGGAACUGUUUCUCUAAUUAAGCCAAAUUAUAUUUAUAGAUUUGACAUUAUCUUAACCAGUUGAGGUUUUUGAAUUUAAAACCUAUAACUUGUAUUUAUGCUUAUUUACUUAUUUUCAACUUUCUUGUUUUUUUUCUUUUCUAUUAAUACAAAAUCCCUUCGUCCUUUCUUAACUAUUAACCAUAUAAUUACUUGAAACCAUUUUUAUGUUCUUAAAUUUUUAUCAAAGGUGAUUAUCAAUUAUCUUUAAUUAAUAAUUAUGACAAGAAAUUCAUUGUGGCAUACAAAUCUGAUGAAGCUUCUCGGCAAUCAUAUAGUGACUUUACGUCUACCAGGUAAUAAUUUUUAACUUUUUUCUAAUAGAUUUUGAAUCUAACUCUGAUCUUCAUUUCUAUACUAAGUAGAACAUUCUUAGUAUAGACGUAUUAAAAUACUGUUUCAACCACGUAGAUUUAGAAACUAUGCAUUUACAUGUUUUUGUACAGUAGACAUGUAAAUAUUUCAUUACUCAAAUCAAUAUUUACAUGUCUUUGUGCAGUUUCAUAUUUUAAGCAUUAAUUUGAUAAAUGAAAUUCUAAGGCUUUAUCAAGUAAAAUUUAUAGAAAUGGAGUAGUGAUAUAAAAAUGAAAGAAGAUGAAUUUGUCGUUAUAUUAUUAAGAGAUUAUAAUAUUUUUGAAAUUGUUGUUGUUAUUUUAGGAAUUAUGAAUGAGAAGGUUUGGAAAGUGAAGAGGAACAAUAUAGCAAUAUUUUUUGAUGAUUUUAUACAUCUUAUUUAUUUUUACACAUCUACUUUAUUUUCUUAUGUGUAUGAUAUCUUAAUGUUAUAUGUUUUAUAGACGAAAGAAGUAACAGAGAAUGAGUUAAGAUAAAUCACAACACAAUGUAAUAAUACUAAAUAGUUGCAAAUGUAUAAAUAAAAACAAGGAACAAUAAAGAAAAAAUUGAAACAAAAGAACAGCAUGAAACAAUAGAAGAAUAAGACUUAUAUAAAAUUAAGCUAAAAAAAGGUAAACAACAUAUUAUUGAUAAGUGUAAUUUAAACCCAACACACACAAAUUUGAUAAGAAAUUAUCGCAGGUGAUUGGAUUUUGUUGUUUUGAAAUAUGAUAUAUGAUUUAACUAUUUCUAUUAGUUUUAUGAUUCCAUUAUUUUCUCUUAUUUCUGUUAGUUGUGCCUCAUUUAUCCUUAUUCUUUGCUUUUAUAUUGAAACACAAUUUUACCAUAACAAAUUCAAAGAAAAAUCAUAGAAUAAAUCAAUCAUAGUAUGCUACGUCGUGAACAAUCUGCUUAACUAUAGAAAUAAAUAUAUCCAAAUCUUAGAGUUUUGUUGAGAUGUUUUGGUCUCUUUAUAUAUGUACUACACUAAUUUUCUUGCUAUGUUUAUUCUUUUUUUUUAAGGAAUUUGGUUCUCUCUUCUAAUCUUUAUUUUAUUUAUACUUAAAAAGAUAAGUGCUCUUUCUGAAAACCAUGUAUUAUUUCAUCCACGUAAUAUGAGCAAUUUCAAAAGAGUUUACAUAAAUAUUAGUUCACUAUUCAUGUUGCUUUACUGUUAAUUUAAUAGCAAAAUUUUUUAUCGUUGGUAAUACGAUGUUGUAAUUUUAUUAUUACGCAUGAUAAUUAUUCAAUAGCUUAAGGUGAUGUAUUAUGCAAAAAAAAACUUAGAUUAUACUAAACUAUAGGAGUUGUAUUAUUUUUGAAUUAAAAGCACAUAAUUUAAACGACGUCAGUAAAAAUUUCUAUAAAAAUUUAUGAAUUCAUGAAUAAAUUCUAGAUUAUAUUGCACAUAAUAUAACUUUUACUGUAAUUUAAGAUAGAAGAAACUUAAAUAUAAUCAAGCAAAAACAAAGGUAUUAAUAAAUUUUUAUAAUUUUUAUUCUGAAACAAUUUUCGCGCAUCGCGCAGGUACUAUACUAGUUAUAUAUAUAAGUUUAUUUGUUCCAAAUUGUAAACAUUUAAUAUACCAUACAUAUUUUACCUCAAUUUUAUAGUUUCUUAUUUCUUCUUUAUAUCUCAUGGUUAUUUAUUUCAAACAUGCACUUUCUUUUCCUAUUUUAUAUAGGGGUGGGUGUUCGGUAUUUCGGUUUGGAUUCAUUUUUUUAUGUCAUUUUUUUAUUUUCGGUUAUGAAAUUAGGCGUAACAAAACCAAAUUGAAUUAGUUCGGUUCGGUUCGAUUUGGUUUAUGUAAAUUUUAAUUCGGUUCUAUUUCGAUUUAAUAAUUUUAGUUUCGAUUUUGGGUCUGUUUAAUGGGCUAAAUUAUAUUUGUGAAUUGGAAUAGUUUAACUUUCUUACGUUAAAGAAAAAUCAAUAUAUAAUUAUAAAGUCUUCUAGGUCACAAAUGAGAAUAAUCACCUCCAAUGCAAAAAUUAGAUGGAGGACUAUACAUUUAACUUUUGAUUGCAAAAAUCAAUGCAAAAAGUAAUUUUCGAUUUUGGUUAUUGAAUGUAUUUGAAUUUUGAGGCUUUGAGUUGUAGGCAGUAGUGGGUUAUAGCUAAAGCCUAAAUAGCUAAGGGGCUUAGAUAAUAUAAAUAUUAAAUAAUUAAUAUUAUCUAUAUAUAUAUAUAUAUAACCGAAAUACCGAAUUCAAAAAAAAUAAACCAAAACCAAAUCGAAAUAAUUCGAUUCGGUUCGGUAUUUUGAUUUUUGAUAUUUAUGCUCAACUCUAAUUAUACAUUAUUCACUUUUCUUUUUAGUGAGUUCUCAAAAAGAAUGACACAUUUCUUUAUUUAGUAACAUUUUAACUCUAAUGUUCAUUUUAGAGGGUGUUUAGACUGACUUAUUUUUAAGUAUUUUUGACUUUUAAGCACUUUUUAAAUUUUUGUAGGUUUUUGACAAAGACAAAAAAGUGUCUUUAAGCACUUUGCGUUAAGCUUUAAAAGUACCAAAACAAAUUUAAAAAAAAAAACACAGAAGUCAAAAGCCAAAAGAAAGUAGUAACUUUAAGUCACUUAAAAAAAGUCCAUCCAAACACCCUUUUACCCUUAGGGGUCGUUUGGUUUGAAAAUAAGUUAUACCGGGAUUAGUUAUGCUGGGAUAAGUUAUGAUGGAAUAAGUUAUGGGAUUAGUUAUGCUGGGAUUAUUUUUUAUUGAGUAUUUGGUUUGUUGUAUUCAAAGUAAUAUGCAUGGUAUAAUUUCUAGGAAUAAAUUGAUUGAUUAUCAAAAUGCCCUCCAUCUUAUUUAACUUUUUUUAUAUAUAUAAUUCUUUUUAAACUUUAAAUAUUCAUUCUUAAAAUUUUUUAAUUAUUUUUUAGAGAAAUUAAAAUAUAUAAAUAAACAUAAUUUAUAUAUUUUACAACCAUUUUGAACGGUAAACUGUUCAAAAUUUAUUUNNNNNNNNNNNNNNNNNNNNNNNNNNNNNNNNNNNNNNNNNNNNNNNNNNNNNNNNNNNNNNNNNNNNNNNNNNNNNNNNNNNNNNNNNNNNNNNNNNNNNNNNNNNNNNNNNNNNNNNNNNNNNNNNNNNNNNNNNNNNNNNNNNNNNNNNNNNNNNNNNNNNNNNNNNNNNNNNNNNNNNNNNNNNNNNNNNNNNNNNNNNNUAUAUAAUUAAACAUAAUUAACGUAUAUAUAUUCAUAAUAUUAUACAUUAUAUAUUACGUUAUAUAUUACGUAAUUACGUACAUAAUAUUAUUCAUAAUUAAUGAAUAUAUUAUACGUUAAUUAAACAUAAUUUACGAAUAUAUAAUUUAUAUAUAUUUAUGAAUAUAUUAUACAUUAUUCAUAAUAUCUAUUUAUGUUCAUAAUAUAUAUUUAUACGUUUAAAACAUAAUUAUUAUACAGUUUAUCAGUUUACGUUAAUUAUUAUUAUACAUAUGUAAUUUAUUUAUGAAUAUAUUAUACGUUAAUUAAACAUAAUUUAUUAUUUAUGAAUAUAUAUAUAUGUGUGUGUGUGUGUGUGAGAGAGAGAGAGAGAGAGAGAAAUGAAAAUAAUAGAGUUUGAGGGUAUUUUUGUCCUUUCAUAUAUUUAUCCCAAGGAUAAAUUAUGGUGGGAUUGUUAUCCCACCAAUUGAGUGGAUAACUUACCCGGGACUAUUUAUUAGUCCCGCGAUAAGUUAUCCCGAAUAUUGCCAACCAAAUAUGUUAUAGAAAAUUUUAUUCCGAGAUUAUUAUUUUAUCCCGAGAUUAUUUGCUUCAACACCUCAAACCAAACGAGCCCUUAGAGGUCGUUUGGUGUGAGGUAUAAGGUGUAAUAGUCCCAGGAUGAAAUUUAAGAUUAUUUUAUCCCGUGUUUGAUUGGAGACAUAACAUAACCGUCGAUUAUUUAUUCCACCAUUUAUAUCAUAGUGAUGAAAUAAGUUAUCUCAUAGUAAUGGGAUAAGUUAUCCUAUAUAUAGAGUGGGAUAAGUAAUUCAGGAAUAGCUAAUUCCGAAAUUAAUUAUCCCAUUUGGUAGAAUGUAUUGAAAAAAUAAUGCAUGUAAUAGUUAAUGUGUAUUACUAGUACCUUGUUUGGUAUAUUUUUUAGCCUAUGUAUAACUAAUUCAAGCAUUAGUUAUACAUUGUAUUGAGAGUAUAUUACCUCAAAAUUCAUGGUACUAGUAAUGUAAUGGAUUCUAAUACAUGUAUUAUCACGAUUAAAGACACAAUUAUCUCUCCAAAUCUUUUUCACAUCCUUUCCACCAUAUAUAUAUAUGGAAGGUAUUUUUAUAAAAGAAAAUAUUUUUAAUUUUUUUUAUAUAAUUAAUAUAUAUGUUUAAUACACUAAACCAAAUACUGCAUAAGAAAAAUGCAAAUAUAACUAACGCAAGUAUAGCUAAACACAAACAUUAUUAAUACAAGCAUUACUAAUACAACAUGUUUUAUAUUAUGUCUAUAUACUCUACCAAACGACCCCUUAAUAAAAUAAUUUAUAGCUACACAAACAUCUAAAACUUAAUUUAAAUCACAAAUUAAAAGAAAAAUUAUUUUUUUUCUUAAACUCCGUGUCAAGUCAUACUAAUUUAUUUUUUUCCUUUUCAUGUUUAAGUAGGCAUUUGACCAUAAAAACUACUCCCUCCAUUUUUAAAAGAAUGACCUACUUUCUUUUUUAGUUCGUUUUAAAAAGAAUGAACUCUAUCCCUUUUUGACAAUACUUUAAUUUCAACUUUUCACAUCGCAUGUUUAGGACCACAAGAUUAAAGGGCAUUUUGGUACAUUUAACACAACUUUAAUUUAAGGCCACAAGAUUCAAAAGUCUUCUUUAUUUUCUUAAACUUUGUGCCAAAUCAAAGUAGGUCAUUUUUUUUAAACGGAUGGAGUAAAUUUUUUUGGAGUUGGAGUUGUAUUUGUCCAUGUCUUUUUGAAAUAUUUUUGUAGACUUUUGAAAAGACUUUUUUAAAUAUAAUUUUAUAUCCUUAAUUUUUAAAAAUUAUCACAAACACCCAAUACAACCAAAUGUAAGAGGAGACAAUAAUAUUGUCUUCAUUGUUGUUGUUGCAUAAAGAGUCGUAAGAAUGGACGGAUCAAAAUUUUGUUGUAUCAUGAGGAGAUUUUGAGAAAGAAGAAAAAAAUUGAAAUUGCCUUAUUUUUUUUAGGUCUUUUAUCUAUGAAAGGAAAAAGUGCGCCGUAUGGUAGUGAGAUAUUUAACUCCGGUUGUUGAAUAAAAUUAAUAGGAUAUUUUUGUAAAAUUUGAAAAAAUAAGGUCAUUUGUGACGAUAAAUAAAGUUGAAAUUGAAGUUGGAAAAAGGUGAAAACAAGCAAUAACUUAUUUUUAUUUUUUCAAAAAUAGUUUAAAAUUGAAUUUGAAAUUCACAUAGCCAAAUACCUCAAUUUUUAUUAAAGUAAAAUAAUUUUUCGAAAAAAAAAUAAAAAUUUCUUGUGACCAAACGGGUCCUAAAUGUGUAAAAAGAACACGGUGAAAAUUUCAUUAUUGUUAUAAUUGUUAGCCCUAUAAAUAAUUUUGAGCCUCCGAGAAUUGUGUAAUUUUUUUCCCUUUCUUGUUUUCCAUUUUCUUUUUUUCUACAAUUGUACCUUCCCGCUGAAAUAGUUGUACGUUGCCUUGCUCAGACACGUAACACUAUCAUAUAGAUAGCAACUGCUGUUGAAGAAAACAAAAGCAGCUACUACUUCUUAACAACUGGUAAUCAAAAUGGGGCCUUUUGCAUUAGCUUUGGAUACAAAGAAUUCUUUUGUGGCCUCCUCUUCUGCUUCAGGUAAUUAAUUACUUAACAUUAAUUAUCCCGGGAUUAUAGUAUACCAUAUGGGAGAUGGUAUAAAUUAAUUCCAUGUUUGAUGGGAUAAGAUUGAAUAUUGCAAGAAUAAAUUUGUUAUCAAGAUUUAUACCAUGUUUGGUUGAUGUUAUAAAUUAAGCCUGGGAUAAGUUUAUACCGUCAAGGCAUCAACCAAGCAUGGUAUAAAUUUAAUAGCAAACUUAAUGAUGGGAUAUCUCACCUUAUCCCAUGUACCACAUGACUUUGCUCUGUCUAACUAUCUUUUACUUUUUCUGUUUUUUUUUUUUCUUUUCCACUUUUUUCUUUGGACUGUUAUAUAUGGAAGUAAUGAUUGAGUGUUGACUUGGUAGUGUUAUUUGAGUGAAAAUCCUGGAUACGUUGUUGUAUGUUGUGUUAUGGCAGAACCUAAUUGUUUGGACUAUUGUAUAUGAAACUAAUGAUUGAUUGUAGACUUGUAGUGUUAUUCGAACACCCUUUACUGGAUACGCCACUGACUGUAGUGUUAUGACAGAGCCUAAUUGUUUAGACUAAUGGAAAGGGAAAAUUUUUGCGCAUAAUUCAUCUUAAACUGACAUUUUACAAUUUAACAAUAACAGCAUAUCCACAAACUGGGGUCUGGAGAGAGUAGAGUGUAUACAAACCUUAUCCUUAUAGUUUACGAUGUAGAAUGCUAAUUUUCGUUCUUCUUUUUUUUUUUUUUUUUUUUAUUGGCCUUUUUUUUAAAAAAAAAUUAAAAAGUUAAAAUUAUAGAGUUAAUGUAUGAUAUAUUUGGUUUAAAUGUUGGUUGAAACAAAUCUAUACUCUGGAGAAAAGGAUGCGUUGGUAUUAAUCUUAGAUGCAGCUAUAAUCAUAUAUAGAAAUUGUAAGGGUAACUGAUAUUAGUGAUUCAGCUUGUGCCCGAGGAUACGGGAGUGUAGGGUUCCACUGCUCCCCUUUGUUGCUAUGAAUGAUAACAAUAAGAACAUAGCCAGCAUAAUUCCACAAGUGUGGUCUGAGGAGGGUAGAGUGUACGCAAAUCUUAUCAGACCUUGUAAGAGUAUGGCAGUUGUUUCUGAUAGACCCUUGGCUCACAAAGAGAUGAAAAGGAGCCCGUAACAACAACAAGAUAAUAGGAUAAAUGAAAUGGAUGAGACAAAUAGGUAGUUCUAGAGAUUUAGGAAUACCAACAAGCAUUUUGUGGUUUGUAUGAACAGAAAGGAAUAAUCACAGGUGUUUUGAUAGAAUAUCAACUCCUAAUCAUUAUUUUUGUGACUAAGAAUGAUGAAUAAGGUAAUUAUAAUUUUAGGGAUUCUAGGCUGAACAUUGAGAUCUCAAGAAUCAAGAUUCAAAUCAAGUCACUUAACUCUCUCAGUUACUGGAUUCAAUAUUUGUUGGAGUCGCUGUUUUUCAUACUAAUAUGACUUGAAGUUGAAAAACUGUUGAUAUGACAGUAUCGUCGUAAUGUUGUUAAAUUAAGUGCACGUACUUGGAAUUACAUAUACAUAUCUGAUUGCUAUAAUGUACAGCUACAUGUUGGUUUUGAACAUACAAAACUUACUAGUGAUAAUAGUGAAACAUUUCUAUUAGUUACGUCAAGAAAAACUGUUUCCCUCAGGAAGUACAAUUGAUCAAGCAAAACUGUUUAGUAUGAUGAUACGUCUAGUUUUAUGGCUCAAGCGUUAAUGUUCAAUAGAUUGAAUAGUGCUCGUUUUUGAGAAAAAAAAAAAGGCUUCUUUUCAUCAAUUCUGAAUACAUUCAACUUUGAUUGUUGAAUGAGAUUAACCAACUACUCUUAACUGAUGUGUUGGAUACCAAUAUGCAUAUAACAAGCAUGAAUUGGAAAGGUAGAACUGAUGGUUUCAUGUGUCACCAUUUCUGUUACGAAAAUGUUCUUGUCUCUUUCGCAAUUAUACUUAAGAAGAGAUCAAGGCUUCUUAAUGAGUGUGAUUUAUCUUAGUGAUAUGAAGAUUGUUAUUAGAAAUAGGGAUAAAAGAAAUAACCAUGCAUUACACCGUAUUAGGAUGUAGAUUCAUAUUGAUUCUUCAUCUUGUAAUUUCCGGUUCUUUCUUGAGGAUGUGGUUUGGUUUUGCAGAUGCAUCUGGUAGAAAAAUGGAUAGCCUUCAGAUGUUACCAAAAAAGUUCUUCGCAUCAAUCAACAAUGAAGAAGAGAAACCAUUUGAUUUCCUGAGGAUUCUAUUUGGUAUGUCUGCUGAAAUAAAAGUAAUUAGAUGACAACCCUCAGGGGUUGGCCUGGUGGUAAUUGGCUUGAGCUUUGGGAUGCUCCCUUUCAAGGUCUCAAGUUCGAUACCCACUGGGUGCAAACAAUUUUUGAGGGCCAUCGAACUGGGUGGAACCCUGAAUUACCCGUGGUGCACUUGCGGGAAACUCCUUGCCGAGGGCCUAUGCACCCCCGGGAUUAGUCGGGACUCGAAGAGUCUCGGACACCCGGUGCAAGUCAAAAAAAAAAAAAAAUAGUAAUUAGAUGACGAUAUUGGAGCAUACUUUUCAUAUAUCCUAAAGUUUCUGCUCUCUACAUCAAUCUGUUUUUCCAGCUUUCUUCUUUUAAUUAACGGCUAUUCCCAGCUUGCCCACAACCAACCUCCACCUCUAACAAAGCACAUCUUCCCAAAAAGAGGGGAAAAGAAGGGAUGAAGAAAGACAAAUAAAAAAACCACUUCUUACACCCUACAAUUGACAGAUAGGAACUCACUACAUCAAUCUGUUUUCCCAACUUCCCAUCUCAUUUGCUAUUUUCAUUCUUUUAUAAAAGUACUUCAACAUUUGUAGGUCAGGAAUGGAACAGCCACACCGCACAAAAAAUUGAACAGUAAAUUGUUUAGUCAAAAAGUUAUUUUGACUACUUUUGCCUAUACUGCUUGUGCACCAGAGAUUUUCCCGUCAUUAAUAGAAUUGUUUACCUUGG